rnacentral:lncRNA from 1 species
ACCUUUUUUCUGUCUUGUACCAUUCUCAUGCUUUUGCUUAUGUUGUUUUAGCUAGCCAUCCGUCCUCUUUCCAUCAAAAAAAAAAACGCCCCGCCAUCUGUCUUCUUCCCUUUCCAGUUACUUUUUAUUUGCAUAUCACACUGGACAACAAUCCCAUUCUCAGCUGUCCAUCAGACUUCUCCCUCAGUCUCUUCACCUUCCUUUUUUGUGUAUAUUCUCAGCUAACAACAGAUCUCCUCCUUCCAUCUCUAGUAGCUCUUAUGUUAACUUUCAACACAAGUUAUUACUUCUUGUUUUUAUCUCUUUUAUACACUAGAAUAAAAACAUUUGGUGAUACUAAUCACCUUUUGUAUUGUUGUCUCAUUAUUCAGAACCGUCUUAAAGUUACAUGUAGAACUGCAUUAUCUCUCUCUUUCUCUCUCAUCCUUUUUUCUGAUAAAGCUUUCUCUCAUCAUUGGAUGGGUUCGUGGCCCAUCUUUCAUGCAGUUGUUCGCAGCCCAUAUUACUUUCAGGUACCACAGGUUGGUGGUGUUGGCUUCUACCAACCCCAGUUCCCUAACAUGUUCUUACCCGGAGCUGUGAACAUCAAUCCAAGACCAGAGUUUCAAGUGAGCCGGGAGAUAAUCCCAGAGGCAUUCAGCAACGCCCCUCAUCCAGCCUACCACUAUGAUCAUCAUGCCACUGGAACGAGCCACAGCACUGCAGGUCUUGCCAACAUGAACGGCCCCAUCUCCCAUGAGACACUGCAGCUGUUCCCGUUGCACCCCACUGGCAUCUUGGAGGAGAGAUCUGUCAGCACUCUAACCUCAGCCUCAGCAGAGUCCGAGAGCUUGGACGAUGGAGAAGACGAGGUGGGUGGUGAGAACCAACCACCCUUCAAUUUCUUUCGUGCUCCUAGGAAGCCAUACUAAGAAAACCAUUGUGUUUGGGUGUUAAGAAAAAAAACAAAACAAAAGAGGGGUUGGACAGUGGUUUUGCUUUGAUCUCAUCUCCUUUACUUCUUUUUUUUUUUCAUUUUUGCUACUCUUUUGUGUCAUCGUGAUGCUUUCAGGCCAUGGUGAAUAAAUGGAUGUGUAAAGAGAUUGGAGGGAUCAAGGAAUAGUUUGUUUUAUUGGUUUUGUUCUACACUUCUACUCUGAUGAAGGUGGUCAAAUGUACAGUACUGGCGAGUUUGACCGGCUCGUAUGUUUUUCUUCCUUUAUUAUUUCCUGUGUCUGUACGUAAACAUUGGACACAAGAAUGGGACAGCGUGGGCCGUGCACCUGAGGUCGCAUGUUUCGAUCGAAACGUGAAAUCGCUUGAAAACGAAGUGGGUUACUGUACGGCAUUUAUGAUUUGGAAGUCCUACGAGUCCUAUUCAUCAGCAUGGCCUCUGGAUUCUCUGCAACCUAUAACCUGUAGCCAUAUGGUUUCCUUACCGUCUGCAACGAGGAGCCCCAUGUCUUAGCGUCUGCUGUGUAGUUGUCCGAUGUAAUGCAAACAGCCAUGCAAAGGCUAGUUAAUAUAUACAACUUUAAAAUUAUGCGACAAGCAAGAACAUCCAAGUUGUGCAGUUAAAAAAAAAUAAAUACAUAUAUGCAUAAAUUCAUAUCUAAGAUCUAAUCCUCACCCUUAAAUUCUUCAUUAAGUUAUUCAUAUCUAUUAAUCAAUUAAUUAGUUAAAUUAUAUAUAUAUAAAAGUAUCUUAGUUUUUUAAUUUUAAUUUAGUUAAAAAAAACCAUAAUCAAAUUAUUUUAUUAAAAACUUCAAAGUUUUCUAAUAGCAUCCUUGAAUUAGAUUUCCCUUUAAAAGACUUAAAACAUGCAAAACUCCUAUAGAAGAAACGGUUCUAACAUUGCUGGAUUUUGAGAGGAAAAAAUGAGAAGUAAAGGUAUCACCGAUCAAUAGAUGAUAGAAAAUUGGAUUUAGCAAGAAAGAAAGAAUUCAAUUUUUUUGAAAAAAAAAUAGACUCUAAAAGCUUUUAAUGGAGGAAAUAAGAGAAAUAUUUCUAAAGGGAGAUUUAUUGCAUUAGAGAAAGGUAAUCAUGAUUUAAUUAUUAUAUAUAUAUAUAUAUUAAAAGUGUUUUUGAUUAAAUUAUUCCAGAUUUAAAACUGUUAGAAGUGUAUUUAUAUGUACAUUAUUAGUGUUUUAUAAAAGUAGCUAUCUUUCGGAACUUUUUUCCAAUUUCAAUAAUGGCCUUAAUUAAAUUUCUCUCUUAAUAGCUUAACCAUACUAGCAAACUUCUAGUAAAUGAAAAAGGAGCGGAACGUAAUGUGGGACUUCUUGGAAUUAAAGAGAGAAAUAGACACACGUACAGGAGGAAAUGAGAAUGCAUUGGGCAUGCAUUGUGAAUUAUUGGACUUCUUAAGUGGCAAAAAACUGCUUUUUUUCUCCAAUCUCUAAAAUUGUUUGGGUUUAGUGCCUUUCUAGAGUUAUUCUCAAGUCUGCUAGUGUUUGGAAAAUUUAAUAUUAUCUAUCUUUUAUGUUUUCACCCUAAUUAACAUAGUUACUCUUUUGGCAUUAAGCUCCUAGGUAUACAAGUGACAUAUAUUCGAUGCAGAUAUGUUACCAAUCAUGAACAAAUGAUGAUAUAUAUUAAAAUUUCUUCAACACAAUGAGUGCUUAUCUUAUAUGCGCAUAGGAUAUCUAAACCAUGGAGUUGAAUUUUAAGAACAUAUCAUAGUUGUAAAUUGCUCGGCUAUUAAAGCAUGUAGUACACUUAUCAAAUUAUUGAUGAAUAUAUAAAAAUUACUUUUAUAUAUGAAACAAGUGCAUAGAUAUUUUGCUUGUUGAUGCUAACAUUGUUAUUCUUUCAGAUUAACAUCAUAAUCAUGUGUGACAUUUAUAUAAAUUUUAUUCACUUGCUUCGGACCCGGGGGGGGGGGGGGGACAUUCACUUGAAAAGAAAUAACAAUGAUAGUUUUGUCAAUGAUAGUUGUUCAAAGUAUACCCAAUGCGAGCUCUUAUUAAUUCACUUGAAAAGAAAUUAUGACAUAUUUAGGGACCUCGAGAUGGUUUUCCAAAAGCAAGUUUCACCUAAAGGCUGCAAAGAGCUCGCACUUUAAAUGUGAGACGUCACGUGCGUUAGAACAAUUAUAUUGGGAUCCCUAAACGAUAUCCAACUUAAUUUCAGGUCUGAAGUAAAGUAUGAAGAGAGGGGAAAAGAUCAAAAUUCCUAAUUCGCAAUAUAUCGGCGGCUUUUUACCGCGUGCGGUUGGAUCGGUCGGUCGAAGCAAACCCUUUCGAAGAGAAAAAGGAACAACGAGGAAGGAGGAGGAGAGAUCGAAGAAGAGCUUCCCCAAUUUCCUCCAAUAAUUCUCUCCACCAUAUCGAUCUAGCGACGUAAGGAGAGCGGAAAGAGAACAGAUCGAAGUUCCUCAAGAUGAGCUUUCUCUUCGGCAAGAAGAAAACCCCCGCAGGUACCUUUCCCCUAUCCCCUCCAUGAUUUUCUUUCAUUGGGAUAUUUUGUUGAUAUGUUUGAUCUCAAUCACGUAAACAUCAUGUUAUUUCCCUGUUUCUGUUCGUGCAAACUCGAUAAUUUUGCAACUUCGAUAAUUUUACUCGGCUUGCGUUUCGAUUAGGGUUUGCGAUCAUAUUGUCAUAUUAAGUUGAUUUAUCCUGUUUUUUUUUCGAUGGGUUUUAGCUGCUGAGGGAGAAUAAGAGAAUGUUGGAUAGAUCAAUAAGGGAAAUCGAAAGGGAGAGGCAAGGACUGCAGACCCAAGAGAAAAAGCUUAUCGCAGAGAUCAAGAAAACAGCCAAGCAAGGGCAAAUGGGAGCUGUAAAAGUAAUGGCCAAAGAUCUUAUUCGAACAAGACAUCAGAUCACAAAGUUUUAUGCACUCAAAUCACAGCUUCAAGGUGUAUCUCUUAGAAUUCAACUUUUUAUGGAAAAAAGAUAUUUUAUGUAAAAUCUUGUUCUUUUUUUGGUGAACAAAAACAAAACUCGUUGUUUAGUUAUCGAAAAUCGUUAGAUUGCUGACAAUUUGGCUUGGGACGUUGGUUUUUACGAUGGAUGUUUUAGGUACCGCAGGUCCUUGAUCGAAGAUUUCUGGUUUUAUGAGGUUUUGUUCUUUGACUUAACUAACUUAUAGGUAGAUAAGUAUAUCCGAUGAUUUCGUCUGUAGUACACUCGAAAAAGCGGGGAUUGUUUGACGAUUUGAUGAUUGCUGUGGUUUUUUUUUUUUGUAGAGCUGCUGAGGGAGAAUAAGAGAAUGUUGGAUAGAUCAAUAAGGGAAAUCGAAAGGGAGAGGCAAGGACUGCAGACCCAAGAGAAAAAGCUUAUCGCAGAGAUCAAGAAAACAGCCAAGCAAGGGCAAAUGGUAUGCACUUUUUGUGACCUCUCCAUUGCUCUUAUCAUACAAUGCAGAUAUUUGAGUUUCACUUUGGUUUAGUUUUGGUCUUUGAAUUAGUUUGUGUUAACUAUUGUUCCAACACUUCCAUGUUCCACUAAAAUCUGUUCUGCAUCCUCUUUAACUUUAUAUUUCAUAUGUCUGUACUUCAUAGCCAUAGUUGGUUCCUUCGAAAUAGGUACUCCAAUGAGUGAUAGUGUCAUGGUUUCUCAAGAGAUGGAUUAGGGGAUUAAAAUGCAGUAUGAACAUUCAGUUUACGAGAUGAAGGAAGGAAAGGAGCGAACAAGUUGGAGGAUAGGACAGGCUGGUCGAUUCAUCAGAUAGGUGUGAGCUAUACCCCGCAAUCCCACACUUUAGAUCUUUUAGUGUGAAAUGAUAAAUAAGUGGGGAUGUGCAAGUAAUGGUCUACCUUGAGCAAUAUUUUUCAUGUUGCCUUUUGGUGACUUCUUGUGUUGUUUUAUGUUUUAAAUUUUAUUGCAUUUGCAUGUGGGUUUUGGUGAUCUUGAUUAAUGUCUUGAACAUGACCGAAGCCCAUGAAUUUUACAGCUUUUUGUGGGCUCUUCAUUAUAGCUGAUGAGCCUAUUGAUCUAUUAAGUCAGGUUUAUCCCAUUUGUACUAAGAGUUGAGUUUGGGGUUAAUCUGGGGGAAGUUAUUUAUUUGUGGUUGGAGGGGGAGAAGUGAUGGUGAUGGUUGUGGUUGUAGAUUAUGGAAAAUAUGUAAUGUCAUUACUGGUGAUAAAGAUUUGAGAAUAGCACACUAGAGAACCAAUUAUCAAGGUUACAUAUUAUAUCGAAGUGAGAUUAUUUUAUUUAUUUGAAGUUGGUGACAACAUGUUAAUUGUUACAUAUAUAUUCCAAAUAUUUAUCUUUUAUCAGAACUAAAUUUUAUAAAAUUUAAAUUCUAUAUCAUGUAUAUAAUCAUACACAAUAUAACAUUCUAAGUACAUUUUAGUGCUAAUAGACAUAACUAAGACAAACACUGCACUAAUGACAACCAUGCCCAUGACCCCAACUAUUUGGUUCAGCUUUGUGAAUUCUUGUCUGCCUUUGAUUUCUGUUAACAUCUUCAUUUGCCGCAACCACAAGCUUUUGCAGUCCUUUUCCUGUAAUUUUAUAUCAACUUAGGUCUUCCUCUCUUCCUUUUUGAAUCCAAUAAAUUCGAGCACCUGUCCAUAUUAAGCCUCCUACAUGUGAUACCAUCUCUAUCGAUUUCAUUAUCUUGUCCUUGAUAAACCAAACAUCUACAUCAUAUUGGGUACCCCAGUCCAUUGACUAACACCUAAGCAAUUAUAUCAAGGGAAACAUAUAUUUCAAAAAAUAGUAAUAUUUGAAUUGAACAAAUAUUUUUUUUCUUGGUGCCUAUCACUCCAUCAUGCAGUACAUCAUCCUAUACUUUAUAAUUUUCUGAACUGUAUUGAGUCAUAAUGCCUUUAAUAACACAGAAACAGUUAUCACUAGCUAUAAAUUUACUAUUUAUGCACACAAGGAAUUUGAACAUUCACUUUUUUUUUUUUGGGAAAUUAAAAAUUUAACAUGACUACAUGCAGCUGUUUUUUUAUCAAUGGAUCAAAAUUGAUGCUUGUCUCGUGAGUUCAUCAUCCUGCCGCAUGAAAGAUGGUUGUAAAAAAUUAUAUAUAUAUAUAUAUAUAUAUAUAUAUAUGUUCUCUGUCAUCGUUAUAAAUUUCUAAGUUGCAUGCUGAGUUACCAUGUUUUUAAUGUACAACUUAGAUUUCAGAAAGGCUAGCUAAUGAUUUAAAAUCCCUUUGUUGCCUUAUUUUGGCCUGUGUGCAAUGAUUUAAGUAGGAAUGUUUUUUUAAUUAUGUAAAAGAAGAAAGCAUGGGUUUUGCCAUUAGUGAUGCAGGGCAAGCUACUUCAGACUUUAUUUAGUCAUCAGUUAACUGGGUAAACAUAAUGCAUAUCUGAUACAAUGAAUUACAUCCCUUGUUUUGUCAUAAUAUCAGUAAAACUGGGAUUUUUGACUAUGCUAAACCAGUGCAUAUUUUGAGUUCUUAUUCCAAGGGAACUUUGCUUUACUUAUUUCAAGAACAUGAGUUCUUUAGUAUAUGUUAAAGUCAUCAAGUUAUUUGCAUUUGGAAAAUUUGAAAUCUUUUAGCUGUGAUCUCUUUUGGCUUUCCUCUUUACCUUUUUAUUCAGGCAGCUUUUGUUGGAGAUUAAUCAAUGAGCAUGAUUUGCAUGUUUUCUUACACUAAGUUUCUUCAUUUCCUGAGCUGUAUCUUUUCUUGUUGUGUAAAUAUUUUUUUACAGGGAGCUGUAAAAGUAAUGGCCAAAGAUCUUAUUCGAACAAGACAUCAGAUCACAAAGUUUUAUGCACUCAAAUCACAGCUUCAAGGUGUAUCUCUUAGAAUUCAGGUAAUUUGAUGCUCUUCACUUGCAUUUGACAUGAAAAUGGCAAUGAAAUUCGGUAAUUACAUUUUUCUUCAUUAAAUAUUGUCUGAUAAAAUUUCUUUGACUUUUUGAGAUAAGAUAGGUAGUUCAGUAUUCCUUUUGUGGAAAUGCCUAUUAUAACUGCUAUUGAUGCCAAGAAUGGGAAAAUGCUUCUUAUAUGAUCUGUUUUAAGACGUAUUUGAUUCCUGUGAAAGAUUCUUUCAGUUUUUGUCAUGCUUGGAGUUAAAAUGGUCUUGAGAAUUGCAGACAUCUUUAGUGACUUAAUUCAUUGGUCAUGUUAUGAUAUAUACUAAGGCACCGAAUGCAGGAAAACUGUAUUGAAUUAUAGGAUGCCUAUGCUUCCGGUUAUAAGAGUUUGUGGACUUUGAUAAAAUUAAAGUUGAAACGACAAUUCAUGUGCUGAACAGAUCAAAUGACCAUUUAGGCUUUAUGAUGGGUGAUGAUGACUUCAGGGCAUUUGCAACAUAUGCAUGAUAUGUGGCAGGUAUCAAAGUUUAAUAAUGGUAUAAAAACUUUUGAGCAAUCCACUUUCUAGCAAUACAAUGAUGUUCAAGAGAAUCAUUUGUGCAAUAGUUUGCAGUCCAAUUUAGUUGUCAUUUUCAUUACAACUAACUCAAUUGGAAGAAAAUAAGACAUCCAAUUAUAUUUAUUUUCAUUAGUAAUUUAAUUAUUUGAGUAUAUGAAAGCUAUAAGUUGGCUAAGCAGAAAGUUAAGAAGGCAGUGCAGAUAGAUUCAAAGCAUAUGAAGAAAUAUUUUGCAAGUUAGAAUCUAAAGACAAGGAGAAAGAUAUAUAUAAGUUUGUAAGAGUAGGGGAAAGAAGAACUAGAGACUCGACUUAGGUUAAAUACAUCAAAAAAGGAAAAUCAAAAGGUUUUGGUUGAGGAUGGGAUUAGAGAAAUAUAGAAGAGCUAUUUUAACAAGCUAUGAAAGUCAUGUAAAUGAUUUAUGAUGCCCUGCUAGUUCCAUUGACGAUAGAAAUGUUAAAUAUACAUGUAGAAUUAAAAUAUUUGAGGUAAAAGAGGCUAUGCAAAAGAUGACAAGAGGAGGUUGGAUCUGAUGAAAUCCCUAUGAAAGUUUGGAAGUGUUUAAAUAACAUGGGAGUAACUUAAUUGAUUAAUUUGUUCAAUAAGAUUUUAAAGACCAAAAAGAUACCUAAUAAAUGGAGGAAGAGCAUUAUAUCAAUUUAUAAGAAUAAUGAUGGUAUUCAAAAUUGUUCUAACUAUCAUGGUAUUAAACUCACGAACCAUAUUUUGAGACUUUGGAAGCGGGUUGUCGGGUACAGAUUGAGGUGUGAAACAAAAAUAUCAGAGAACCAAUCUGGUUUUAUGGUAAGAAGGUCGACUAUGGAUGCUAAAUUUCUCCUUCGGAGAUUAAUGAAGAAUAUAGAGAAAGCGACAAGAUCUUCAUAUAGUUUUAAUUGAUUUAGAGAAAAGCGUAUGAUAGAGUCCCUAGAGAAGUUUUAUGAUGUGUGUUAAAAAAGAAAGGAGUUUCUGUUGGUUAUGUCAAUGUGAGUAAGGAUAUAUAUAAUGGAGCAGUUACUGGUCUGAGAAUUAUUGAUAGUAAUACUAGUGAGUUUUCAAUCACCAUACAUUUACGCCAUGGAUCUACUCUAAGUUCUUAUCUUUUUGGGCUAGUUAUGGAUGAGCUUACUAGGUAUCUUUAGGACGAUAUUCCUUGGUACAUGCUACCUGUGGAUCAUAUAGUCUUAGUAGAUAAAAUUAAGGUUGGAGUUAAUCGUAAGUUGGAAUUAUGCAGGAGUGUAUUAUAAUCUAAGGCUUGAGGUUGAGUAGGACCAAGACAAAUGUCGCUUUAGUAAAAUUAGAAAUAGGGCUAAAGGUUAAUAGAAAAUUGAGGAUCAUGAAAUUUUUAAGAGUGAUUAUUUUCAGUAUUUAGCAUUGAUUAUUCAUAAGGAAAAACUAAAGAGGGCGUUAUCCAUAGACUUAAAGCGGGGUAAAUAAAGUGGAAAAGUGCACAAAAAUAAAAAAUACUAUUUUUGUAGGAUACCUACCAAGUUGAACAAAUUUUUUUUUAAAAUAAUAGUUAUUAUGACCAGCUAUGCUUUACUACCAAAAGCUGGAUACUUAGAAAAAAACAUUUGCAUAGGAUGAGCAUGGCUAAAAUGAGAAUGUUGAGAUGAAUAUAUAGUAAUACAAAAAAAAAUAGAAUAAGAAAUAAAAUCAUUCGUAAAGAUGCAGAGGUAGCAUUGAUUAAGGACAAAUUGAGAUAAGGAUGAUUUAGAUGGUUUGGAUACGUACAAUGUAGCAUGAGGAAUGCACUAUUAUGAAGUGAUUUGAUACAUAUGGAAGGAAAGAGGGAUAAAGGUAGACCGAAAAUCACAUGAGAUGACGUAGUAAGGAAGGAUGUGCUAUCGCUAUAUCUUGCAGAAAUUGUGCUUUUAACAGAGCGAAAUGAAAGAAAAAGAUUCAUGUAGCCUUCCCCAACUAAUUUGGGAUCAAUGCUUAUUUGAAUCGGGUUGUCGUCAUCGUCGUAGUAGUAGUAGUAGUAAUUCAACUAUUACAUGUUUUCUUAUGAUUGCAAAUUAGUUCAAAACCAGAUGAGUGGGCUUUGCUAGUUCAGCAGUAAAAAUGUGCAGAUGUUGGAAUACAAAAGAUGGCAGGAAAGAACAAAUUAAGAAUGGAAAAUGAAAAAACAGAAAACAGACAUGAAGGAAAGAGGAGAAUGAAAAUAUAACGGAAAUGAAAAAGAAGAAGAGUUAUUGAGCAAGUUGAGAGAAUGGUAUAAAUGGAAAAGAGUGAAAUGAGCAGGGAACUAGAAAUGUGUGUGUGUGUGUGUGUGUGAGAGAGAGAGAGAGAGAGAGAGAGAGAGAGAUGAGNNNNNNNNNNNNNNNNNNNNNNNNNNNGAGAGAGAGAGAGAUGAGUGCAUGGACGAAGUUGGCUGGGUUUACAGAUUUCCUGGCUUUCUAAUGGAAAUAAGUGCUCAUUAGAGAGAAUCCGGAAGGGUGGGGGAGCGGGGAGGGUUGGGGAGGAUGGUGACCUUUAAAUGUUUUAACCAUGUUUCCCUCUUGGAUAAAUGUAAGAUCCUUGAUCACAUAUGUUAGAAAAAUAAGGUCAUGUCCAAGUUGUAUUAACUAAUGUAGUUUCAUGGUUUCCACUCCUACUUCAGAGCUGCUGGAGAGGAUGAUAAAAUACGUGUGGAAGUUACAGGAAACUUAAUAAAGAAGUCUGACACUGAAUGUGCAAGCACCCUAUCGGUUGAAUAUUAGCAUUAUAUCUUUAAUGCAUCGUCAAGGACCAUCCUUUUGCCAAUUCCUUGAAGAAUUAAAUGUUCGGGGUGGUGUGUGAGGUUCUCUAAUCCGUUAUAAUUAGGUUAAAACUGCAGAUUCAUGUUAUAUGUGAAAGUUUUUUAUUAGAGCGGGAAUUGACUUUGAAUCAGUUCAUCUCACCAGUCUACAAUGUCAUCUUUCAACUAUUUUGUGAUUCUUGCAGACAUUGAAAUCAACCCAAGCUAUGGGUGAGGCUAUGAAGGGUGUUACUAAGGCAAUGGGACAGAUGAACAGGCAGAUGAACCUACCAGGCUUGCAGAAGAUAAUGCAAGAAUUUGAGCGGCAAAAUGAGAGGAUGGAAAUGGUAAGCGAGGCGAUGGGAGAUGCUAUUGAUGAUGCCUUAGAGGGUGACGAGGAAGAAGAAGAAACAGAAGAUCUUGUGAACCAGGUCCUUGAUGAAAUUGGUAUCGACAUUAAUGCAGAGGUAUAUGCUUACAUAUCUGUUACCUCUUUCUUCCUUCAACCAAAGGAUAUUGUUAUGCUUGAUUCAUAUAUAAUAUACCUCAAAUCCAUUGGUUUUUGUAAUUCGCACACAGCUUGUCAAAGCACCGACAUCUGCGGUGGCUCAACCAGCGGCAGCUGACAGGGUUGCUCAAGCUGAAACAGCUGGGACUGAAGACGGUGGGAUAGACAGCGAACUACAGGCGAGAUUAGAUAAUCUACGAAAAAUGUAAAUAAUCUUAAUAGCAUGUGACCAAUGUGAGGAUGCAAUGGAUGACUAGCAUCUAGCACCAUGUAUUAUAGUGUGAUUUUGAGAAAUUUCAUCCAUACAAUAAAUUAUGCUGGCAUACGGUGUUUUUAACACAUGUAAUAGAUUCUUGCUUGUAAGCCUUCCAGCUUCAUUCCUGUUCUAUCAGAGAAGCGCUUCUAAGAUUUUAAGCAGCAACUGCUAGAUGAAAAAUUAUCAUGUUAGCAUGUUGCCUUGUCCUUUAUAACCGUGAUUCAAACUACUGCAUUUCCUUAGCAUUUCUCGACAUGUCUCUGAAAAUACAUGGAAUUCAGAUCAUUAGUUCGAGCCCUUGAGGCUCUUGUAUCUGUGCAUAUAGACGCCACUUCGGCUCACACACAGCAGGCCAAAAAAAAAUGAAAAAAUAAGAAAUGAAUAAUGGAAAAGGGGGAAAUUUUCCGUUGUACAACCAAGCCGGCGCCCAGGUCACCAUGUCACACCGGAACACCGACGACGCCGGCCAUCAAGCCGAAAUCUGUUGGAUGUUGCGGCCCGGAAUCCACCGCAGCGGCGGCAGUCGGGCGGCGAGGAGGCCGUACUGGAACGCUGGCACGGCAAAGGGGGCAGUUGGAGUGAGAGUAGAGCCACAUAUCUAUACAAGCUGCGUGGAAGGUGUGGUUGCAUGGCGGCAGCUGCCGGAUAUAUUCUCCAUCCAUGAAAGGCGAUAGGCACACCGAGCACCCGCUAUCGGAUGCAUUCUCCAAGUCCUCCUCUUCAUUGUGAUACUUCAGUGCCGGAAUAACCCUGGCAGUUUUGGCAUUACUGUUGGUUUCGCUGGUGGAGACCUCAGGUCGCCGGAAGAACCUCCGAAGAGCUAGAGCAAAGCGACAUGGGGAACAGCAUGCAAAGGCUAUCACGUUUGACACUAUAAUCAUGAUGGCAACCACGGCGAUGGUGAGUGCAAAGUAGUGGGAAUCCGGGGUAUCGGAUUUGGGUUGAGGUGAGGGUGUUGGAGAUGCCAUAUGGAAGUGUGUUUUGAUGGCUGGAGUUCAUCAAAACUCCCAGGACAUAUAUAUAUUAUAUAUAUAGCUGGGGNNNNNNNNNNNNNNNNNNNNNNNNNNNNNNNNNNNNNNNNNNNNNNNNNAGACAAAGUAGCAGUCUGGUUUCGAAGGCUGCUUUACGGAGCCUCAGAGCAUUUGUCUGAUAAGGGAAAUAAAUAUUUAAUGCGAGUAAUCCACCUAAAAAUUCUUCGAGUCCAUGUCACGGGUUGUCGAUCGACAUCCUUCAACGGAUGUUCUUCAGGGCGUGGCCCAGCUUUGCGUGGUGGUAAAGUUGGGACAACAGUCACAGCGCUGGGUUUUUGCUCUACUUGAUUCUGGCACGAAAUCUCGCUGUUCUUAAGUAGGUCUCGUGUCAUGUGAAACUGGGUUUCUCCGUGGUGUGGCCUCACCAUGAUUGGUCUGCUGUGAGUUCGGGAGCAGCUCAGUUGUGGGGCGAAGCAGAAAAUUUAUUCUCCUGUCUUCCAUGCUUUGAGAUGUGAUUGUUAUCAUAUGCUAAAGUGGUCCGCUGAGUGCCAUCUUCAAUUCAAAAUCUACACCGACGGAGUUCUGGUUGCAUCUUUCGCGUGAAAGAAUGACUAAUUGCAUUGACUUUUGCAUCACACGGUCCAACGAUAGAUUCGAUCAAAAGAAGGUGAAUCCUCCAUUCACAUGAAAGACAACCCCUGUCCCGAUGGAUGGCGAUGUGUGGGGUUUGACUAUGCUUCAUCUCUAGCGAAAGGUAUUGAAGAGAGAGGCAAACGAUUUCAAGAGUACAAAUAAGGACUUGUUUAGCAUCUCUUUCUUUUUUAAGUUUCUAAAAUAAAAUCACAAAAAUCAAAAUAAAAAUUAUAUUAGAUACUAUAAUUUAUAUAUUUAUUUUUAAAAAUUAUUUUAAAAAUACAAUACCAAUUUUAAAUAUUUUUAAAAAAUAAUAAACUCAUAUUUUUAUAACUAAUACUAUCUCUGCCACCAUCGUUGUUGUUACCACCACCAUACUAUCACCUCCACUAUAAUUAUCACUGUCACCAAUCUACCACCACUAUCAGCCACUCCACCACACCACCACCUCCGUCAUCAUUGUCUCUACUAUGUAGACAGUAACCCCAUUGCUAUCAUCAUUAUGCCACCUCUACCGCAUUAGCUACACUUGGGCCACUAUCACUGUUGUCACUCCUAUCAUCGCCAUCUCCAAUGCCUCUAUUUUUGUUAUUAUCAUCUCCACCAUUAUUGUUAUAUUUAUAUUUUCAAAAAUAAUCAUGUAUCCCAAAUAUAUUCAUAUUUAAAAUCUUAGAAAAUAAAAAUAAAUUUUAUUUUAUUUUAUUUUUUGAAAUAGAAAAAAAAAUGUUAAACGAUGCCCAAGCUUCCAAUUUGCGGUAUACCUUAGCUGCGACCGUUCCAGUUAGCAUGGCACGGUGUGGUCCUUCAACGGGCACAAGGCGAGCACAAAAUGAUCCAUGCCUGUUACUAUUCAACCUUACAUGCCCAAUCAACUUCAGCAUAACAAUCUUCAAUUUAUAUAGAGCAUGGUUAGAUGGAUAUAUAGAGCACUCCCUCCCCUUAUUAGCCAUCACAGUGAGGUGUAGGUAGUAUCAGUGUAGCCAAUCACAUCCAAUAGAUUUCAUGGUUUACAUCGACCCUGAUUUAACUAAUUAAGAUUUUAAGUCAACAUUCAAAACCCGAACAAUUACAACUAGGUGGGAUGGAGGAGUGCUCCAUCAAGGAAUGAAAGUGGACAGCAUGGUAUCUAUCUGAAUUCAUUUUCGUAUCUAAAUCUAUCCGGAUAUGAAUACAUCCGACUAAUAUCCGUAUCUAUGUCCAUAUCCGUCAAAACAUAAAAAUCAAACAGAUAUAGAUAUGGGUAGAGAACUACUCAAUCUAUGUUUGAAUAUUCUAUUCUAUUUGUAACCGUAUUUAAUUUUAUAUAUCACUUAUAAACUUUUAAUAGUAAUAUAUAACCAUAUUAAUAUAUUGUUAUUUGAUUUAUCAUCCACUUAGUAAUAUCUUUAAUUCUAUUGUCAUCAAGUUUAAUUAUCCGACUUAUAUUCGUAUUUAUAUUCAUGCUUUCAGUAUACAAUUUGUAUCUGUAUGCGUUUAAAAUAAAUAUAAAUAUAAAUUUUUGCAUCCGACUAAUAUGUAUAUCCAUAUCUGUAUUUAUUAAAUAAAAUUAAAAUAGAUAUAAAUAUACUGAUAUCCGAUCUAUAUUUUAUCCGAUUUCAGGCCUAACUCCAUCCCUCUCUACGUUGAAAAACCCAAGGUAAUAGAUUUCAACUUUUAAGGGGCUAUCCAUCCAUCGUAGAAGCUUACUGUCAGAAAGAGUGAUGACAACAACAUUUAGGGGUGAAGGUCCAAUUAAACUUUGGCGAACAAGUUGACACCACUCUCCUAGGAACCGAGAGAAAAAUAGGUUUAUCUCUUGGCCCUGCUGAUAGGCUCCUAUGAACUGCUAAAAGCAAUGUAAUGCAAGUUAAAAGGCAUCCAAUGUGCCUAGUGAUCUGCCGGUCCUAUCAAAAAAAGGAUCUUUCAUGGUCUUGUUGCUAGGUUUAGUGGGGACGAAGCUCUUUGAUAAGUGUGAUAGGAAUCUAACCAUUCUUUAUUAUUAUUAUUAUCUUUAACUAAUCAAUUGAUUCACUCUCAUCUGGUAUGAAUACAUCCAAUAAAUUAAAAAAUAAAAAAAAUAAAUGCUAGAAAAAGUCAUUCUUAAAGUUUUACCAGAAUGCUCAACAACAAAAGCAACCACCUAGUUACCAGAGUGCUCUCUAACCAUCCAUUUUAGUGGUAUAUAAGAUCUUGGCAAGAAAAUUCUAUGUAGAACAAACUCGACGAGCAAUCCACUAGAUCCAUGGUAGCAUAAGCGCAUAGUAUAUUAGACACUGCAUUUCCUUCCACUCACCCAAAUCAAUUGAAAAAUAUCAGUGAUAAUCUAAUUCACAAGAAACCACCAUUAUCAGGGGAAUUACACUACACGGUGUCUAUUAUUACAUGUUGCAUGAUAUCUAAAAACUACUGUAAAAUUGCAUGUUGCCACUUGGAACAGCUACCUAAAUUAUACGCAGCCAAUUAAUAUACCAAGGAGAGGUUCUAGUGGGGGGUGCAUUUGGGAUCAUCUCAGGAAUCCAUCAUUUGGAUUUUGGCUCCUCAAAAGAACUCUUUCAUAUAUCAAUUGCCCCUUUUUAACUCCAUCAUAACAUGCUCCCUUCUGUUCCUCGAGAAUGCGUUGAGGUUUCCUGCGUUUUGGCACAUGGGAGCACUCCCAAGAGCAAUAUUUUAGGGUCAAUAAUUCAGUAGCCUUGUAGGAAUGCACUUUUACCAUAUGGCCCAUUAGUGCUCAAACUAAGCAGUUUAAAUUAACUACAAUCACUUGUAUUUUUUAUGGAUGCAAAACUUAGUCAAUGAGAUCAAGGGAAAGCAAGAGUGGCAUGAUGUGUUAUCGUGUCGUGGGUGAUUACUAGGAUGUUACAAUGUCAUUAGUCUCCUUCAUUUUUGCUUAUAACUAAUCUGCAAGUGGCUUCUACUAUUUCAAUAGCUAUCCACAAGCACGCCGGUGUAACACGUCAGGGCCAAGAAUAAUACAAAUCAACAGGAUAAUAUUCUUCAAGAACAUGGAAAGGUUGGUGUUCGGUUAAUACUAAACGGCACGGCUUUAUGCAGUAAAAGAUGGGUUCUUCUUGAUAGUGAUAUAGCUGGUUGUGCUCAUGGGAGAUCAGUUUGAGCAGCUGACCCAAUUAAAAAAAAAUUUAUGAUGGGUUCUAUAGUGCAUAUGCUGCUUGGAUGGUGAUAUUUUGUACCAAGUCUAAAUAUUUCAUAGCGUGCUAAGCUUGAUUAGCAAGUUGACAUGGAGGGAGCUAUCAUGGUUGGUGCUGCACGCAAGCUAUUACCUGCACCAAGGUUGCUUUCAGAUGUUUUUUUCCCCUACUCAUUCAGAAGGCUUUCUUUAUACAUGAUUCAUUGUAUUUGAUAAGCAGCUCGCAAGACAUUUGCUUCGCGGCCUGUUUAUUAAUUGAUUUAUGUAAGAAAUUAGCAAGUGCAUGGGAAUUAAUUAGCUACAUUUGAUCCAUCAUUUUGAUAACUAAUGCCGACUUUUUAUCCUAAGUACAAAAGUAUCCCAAUAUUGUACGUGGAAUAUUGUGUGCACGUUAAGAUGACUUUGGCUAGAAUAGUUCUACCACUUAUAGUGGUAUUUUUCUAAACAAGGACUAAGAGGGCCAAGUUAUAGCAUCCUAUGAUAAAUGUGACCUUGACUCCAUCAACAUAGCUCUUUCCAUAACUUAUCAAAUAAGAAAUCCGGCAGGGGCCACCUCGAAUUUAACAUACAUUCAUCAAUUAGUGACUACUCACUAAAUCAUUGUCUCCAUUACAAACCUGAUAUCACGGUUGAAUAGCUCUUGAGGCUAUCAUUGAUUCAAUUGUCCUAAUUUUCAACAAUAGAUCACAAAUAUAAAAGAAUUGUGAGAGGUCUACCAUUAACAACCAUUGUGAUAAGGGAGGAAGGAGAGCUGAGAGGGAACUCUCAUGAUAAGAAGGAGAGUCUCUUUUGACGAGCUUUUUUUUUUGACUUGACCCUUGAGCCACAUAAUUGAAGAAAGAUAUAGGCUGACACCUAUAUUGAUUUAAUUAAAUAAAAAAGAACUCACACGACGUCACCGUCAAGUAACGGCGAGGUCGGCCUGGCUCCUUAAACGGACCGGUUAACGUUCUUUUUUUCUCCCUUCCGUCUUUUGAAAUGGGGAAGGAAUUCGAGCCCCAGCGGUCUCCUCUGGAAUCCAAGAGGUCUUCUUGAUGCAAUCCGUUGUUUAGGGGCGGGUUUCGAUUCAUUUCCGCUUCUUCUUCUUCCUGCGUUUUUUGUUGUUUAUAUGGAUGGCUGGGUUCUAUCUCUCCGAUUCGGUGUUUUCCUCCCAGUUUUGGCGGAUUUUGGGAUUUUCAUGGUCUUAGGUCGAUAAAGAUCUGAUCUUUUUGGUUGUGUUGGAUUCCUGUUUUAAAUUGCGUAAAGGAUUUCCAAGAAAUUAAUGAUUUUAGGGUUCUUCUCUCCGGUUUUCGGAGGGUUUUGGGGAUUCCAUGGUCGUAGUUCGUCAAAGGUCUCAGCUUUUUCGUUAUCUAUUCGGCUUGUUUGAUUCCUGGUUCAAGAUUUGGUUCCUGGUUUGAUGAGGUUUCGGAUAAAUUAGCGUUUUUAAUUAGGGUUCUCCUCUCCCCUUUUUUUGGACGAUUUGGGAUUCCUUGGCCGCUGAUCGAGAAAGAUUCCUUCUCUCUUGUCAGCCGAUCAGUUAUUUUCCUUGUCGUACAUUUUAUUGGGCACGUUUCUAAGAAAUCUAGGGUUUUUGUUCAUAGAAAUCCGGGUUUGCGAAGAUUUGUUGAGUUUGGGUUUAGGGGGUAUCGGAUUUCUUGUCUCUGAUAGGAAUUCGUGGGGUGGGAUUUAUGGAAUGUGUCUGCGAGUGUUUUCUAUGGGAUGCGUUCCUUGAAUGCGGUGGAGUUCGAAACCCCCCGGACGGAUAGCAUUUGAGAAGGAGGUAGAGGAGGCCAUUAGAGUGCACAAGGAGAUAAGAGAGAAAGAGCCAUGGGAGAAGAUCUCCUCACCUCUCUGUCCAUGGAGAACCACCACCCAUCCACUCUUCUUUCUAUGGAUCCCUCCGGCGGCCCGGCCUUGCUCUCCUCCCAUGAGGACUUGUCCGACCGCGAGCUGAUGAUCCAGCGGCCGCCCGACAUCAACCUCCCACUCUCCGCCGAGCGCUCCCCUCCCCAGCAAUAUUGGAACGAUAUCUUGGACGUCAGUCUUGGCUCUCAGGUCUAUGAUCCUGCGACUCUCCUGCACCUCCCCAGGGUCGGCGCAGCCCGCAAAUGUGUCAAGAGAGGCGACAGCAUCUGGGGCGCAUGGUUCUUCUUCACCUUCUAUUUCAAGCCAGCACUCUCCGAGAAAUCCAAGGCCAAGACAACCCGAGAUGGGAAUGGCGUCUUAGGCUUCGACAAGUCCGAACUCCAGUUUGAUGUGUUCUUGGUCCAGCACGACAUGGAGAACAUGUACAUGUGGGUCUUCAAGGAGAGGCCGGAGAACGCGCUGGGCAAGAUGCAGCUGAGGAGCUACAUGAACGGGCACUCCCGCCAUGGCGAGCCCCAAUUCCCAUUCAGCGCCGACAAGGGCUUCGUCCGAUCCCACCGGAUGCAGCGCAAGCAGUACCGUGGGCUGUCGAACCCUCAGUGUGUGCAUGGUAUUGAAGUGGUGAGGUCACCCAACUUGGCGGCUGUCACCGAGGUGGACCGCAAGAAGUGGAUGGAGCUCACUGGCAGGGAGCUUAAUUUCUCGAUCCCGCUGGAAGCCAGUGAUUUCGGGUCAUGGAGGAAUCUUCCCAACUCUGAAUUUGAGCUCGAAAGGCCUCCUCCUCAUUCGAAGGGCAUUUUGCAUCCCCACCCAAAGAAAUUGCUUAAUGGAUCAGGUUUGAACUUGUUAUCGCAUUCUAAUCAUUCCAAUGGUGAUGGGAUGGACCUUUCUCCAGUUUGCAGCAAGCGCAGGAAGGAUCUCUUUCGACAUGGGAUGGAUGAGGAUUGCGGCUUGCCCCUGAAUUCUUAUUCGGAGAGAGCCCAAGACAUGGACAUACACCCGGUCGGGCCAUCAUGGUUGAAUGACUUUAGCGGUGUGAUGAGGCACAUCUAUGGGCCGGUAACUGCUGCAAAGACGAUUUAUGAGGAUGAACGAGGUUACUUGAUAAUGGUUAGCCUGCCUUUUGCUGAUCAACAGAGUGUGAAGGUUUCUUGGAGGAAUAGUCUUACUCAUGGGAUAGUGAAGAUACUCUGUGUCAGUACUGCUCGGAUGCCAUAUGUAAAGAGGCAUGAUAGAACAUUCAAGCUGACCGACCCUUCUCCUGAGCAUUGCCCACCAGGGGAAUUCAUAAGAGAGAUACCGCUUGCCACUCGAAUCCCAGAAGAUGCUAAGUUAGAAGCAUACUAUGAUGAGACUGGCGCCGUGCUAGAAAUAAUGGUUCCUAAACAUCGUGUUGGGCCCGAAGAACACGAAGUUCGUGUAUGCUUGCGCCCUCCUCAUCUUGGAGCUAAUAAUCUUAUGUUGACCUGAACAGGUGGGAAUAGCAUGUGAUGGGUGGUUUGGCCAAUUUCCAUUGUUUACUAACUAUGCAGCAUAAAAGGAAAUUUGUGAAAUGGAAGUGCAUUCUUGCCAUAUUCAACUCUCCUUUGCAAUUUGGUUUGGCUGAAUAUUCUUGGUGGUUUUUCAUGUUUGGUUGGAUAUUUUUAGUGAGUUGCAUGCUUGAAUGUACUGACAAAAUGUUGAGGUUUGAGAACAUCUUUGGGAGUCAUGUUGAAAUUUUAGCAUGAGGAAUCAUCAAGUUAAAUUCGACUUUGAUUGUUUUGUGGUAAAUGACAAAAUGCUUCAAUGUACUGACAGAAGCAUGACAAAAUGUUGGCUGCAAAACCAGUGUUUGUGGUUCAAAAAUAUGUGUGCGUUCAAAUUCAUAUACUUUCACUAAAAAUCUGUCAUGCUUCUGUUCUGUAUGUGGUCGGAGAUGCUUCAAUGUGCUUAUAUACAUUCUCAAAGUAAUUCUAUCCCUAUACUCUUAUGGAACCAGUAAAUGUCCUUUGUUUAUGUUCCUACUGAAUAUUUGUGUUUGUGUCAGCUUGAAGCGGACCGGUGAUAAAAACUGUAUAGCUAGUUAAAGAUACACUGUCACUCAGUAUAUGUAAAUACCUUUAGCAUAUCUGGGAUAUAUCUAAUAAUUGUUGUAACUUGACCAUCUGCGGGUUCUACUUCAUCUCUAGGAUGUACCAUUGUAUGAUGGGUCGCAGUCAGUGCCGCUGAAUGUCCAAAGCAUUUCCUGUACAUUUGUGUUUGCAACCCCUUUGCGAUCAUCUUAUGUCCAUGUAUUCUGCUACUUUCUCUCUCUCACACACACAGACACCCCUUUUUUCUCAAUUAGUCUUUUACUCGUUUUAAGGCUUUUAUUCCAUGAAUGUAUUGGUUUUCUUUUCUUGCCACGUUUGUGUUCUUUCUCUUGACCUGCAAUGAAGCAAUUCCUUGCAUUGUUUGCCCUUAUCUGAUUUCUUAGCCUGCCGAUACUGCUGUCAUUGCCUUGACAGCCACAGAUAAGGUUGAUUUAGCCGAAGCUCCUGCUUAUGUAGUUUUACAGUGUGCCCUCCGAAGAUGGAGUUCGUGUUAGUUGUUCAUUGGUUGAUAUAUUUGAAUUGUUCUCCAUAUUAGUGACUGUUGCUGGUGCAUACCUAUUUCUUGAUCAUUUUUUAACUUAUCAUCCUUGAUAGCUUACAGUGACUGUUGUAAGAUGACCAUCGGUUUGAAAUCUACAUGUUAUUAUGGUGAUCAUAACUGAAAUUGCUUAUGCUGCGGGCUUUUUCCUCUUGCACGCUGUCGUAGAUUGUCAAUUCUGGAAGUUUACAAUAAGUACUUGCCACUAGAGUAUCUUAUGAUGCCCUACUCUCUCCUAUAAAGAGUACGAGGAUUGAAGAAGCAGCUCUUCAGAACAGUAAGCAUGUAACAUUCGGUGAAAGGAUAGGGAAAACUAUGCCAGGGGCCCGUGCAGCCAGAGCCAUCGUGGAAAGACUAGAAGACAAGAUUUCUUCUGCCGAUGGAAAAGGCACAAGUAGCAGAUGAUCGCAUAAAAUGGCCAGAUAGCUUAAAAGGUCUGUGUUUGGUACGGAACAAAAGAGCUUCAUCUCAGUGCAGAAGAUGAAUGCAGAGAGUCCGCUUUUAUUGGGACAUCACCUGCCUUCUUUGUAGUGGAUAUGUAAUGGUCAUAAAAAGAUGAACCUAGGAGGCAAUACUCUCGAGGUGAGGAUAUUUAGGGUUCUAAACAAAGACUUCUGGUCCAAAAUUUGCAGUCAGGCAUGUUCGGAAGUCCAAACCAGUGAAUCCAACAAUGAAACGUUAUUUUUAAAUAUCCAAAAUAAAUCAUGGAAUGAAAAUUUUAAAAUAUCUGCCUAGAUGUUAUGUUAGUUUACAAUAGAUACAGACAUGAGUGCUGCAUUCUAUACCCAAUCUACAAAUAUGGUCUAAAUUAUCAGCACAACCAAUCCAAAAGCUACCCGGCAUCAAUGUUGCUUUUUCACAAAUUUUCACUUCGUCAACCCACUGCCUUGCAUAUCGAUAAGAGGCAUUCCUGACAUAUAACCUGACUCAAACAAGUAGUAAAGACAGGAGUUCCCAUGAACUAAGUUCCCCAAUUCAUGGGAAGACUAAACCAAUAUAGUCAUGGAAAGACUAAACUAAUCAUCACAACAGAUGCAACGCUCACUGUAGCCACCAGGAAAAUAGAAACAAAAACUAGAAGUUCGGGUGAACUGCAAAGACACCAAACACACCAUGCUGCUACUAAAGCACCUCAAACGAGAAACUGGAGAGAGAAGGUGAAUAAGCUCGGGUGUACUGCAAGACACCAAGCACGCAUGCUACCAUUCAAGCAAUUUAAUCAACUUCCUCAAUCUUGGGCCCUGCACCACUGCUACCACCAGCUGCCGGAAUGUCCUCGUCCAUGCCACCAGCCAUCCCUGCACCUGCGCCCUGGUACAUCUUGGCAAUGAUUGGGUUGCAGAUGCUCUCCAGCUCCUUCAUUUUGUCUUCAAACUCAUCUGCCUCAGCGAGCUGGUUGCCAUCCAGCCAAUUGAUGGCCUGCUCAAUGGCAUCCUCAAUUUUCUUCUUGUCAGCCUGUGGCAACUUGGCGGCAAUCUUCUCAUCUCUGAUAGUGUUUCUCAUGUUGUAGGCAUAGUUCUCCAAAGCAUUCUUCGCCUCCACCUUCUUUUUGUGCUCCUCAUCCUCUGCCUUGUACUUCUCGGCCUCUUGGACCAUCUUCUCGAUCUCCUCCUUGCUCAACCUGCCCUUGUCAUUGGUGAUCGUGAUCUUGUUCUUCUGCCCGGUGGUCUUGUCCUCAGCGGACACAUUCAGGAUGCCAUUGGCAUCUAUAUCAAAGCAAACAUUGAUCUGAGGCACACCUCGUGGAGCAGGAGGAAUGCCGGAUAGCUCGAAUUUACCAAGAAGGUUGUUGUCCCUUGUCCGGGUUCUCUCACCCUCAUAAACCUGAAUCAGGACACCAGGCUGGUUGUCGGAAUAGGUGGAGAAGACCUGUUCCUUCUUGGUUGGAAUGGUAGUGUUCCUUGGAAUCAAGACAGUCAUAACACCUCCUGCAGUCUCCAAACCAAGAGAGAGAGGGGUAACAUCCAGCAGCAGCAAGUCCUGGACCCUCUCAUUGCCCUCCCCGCUCAAGAUGGCAGCUUGGACAGCAGCACCAUAGGCAACAGCCUCGUCGGGGUUGAUGCUCUUGCAGAGCUCCUUCCCAUUGAAGAAGUCCUGAAGAAGCUGUUGCACCUUGGGAAUCCUGGUCGACCCACCAACAAGGACAACAUCAUGGACGCCGCUCUUGUCCAUCUUAGCAUCUCUCAGGCACUUCUCCACGGGCUCCAUGCACUUUCUAAAUAGGUCCAUGUUGAGCUCCUCAAAUCUGGCUCGGGUGAUGGUGGUGUAGAAAUCAAUACCCUCAUACAGGGAAUCGAUCUCAAUGGUGGUCUGGGCAGUGGAGGAGAGAGUCCUCUUUGCUCUCUCACAAGCUGUCCUCAAUCUCCUCAGGGCCCUGGGGUUGCCACUGAUGUCUUUCUUGUUCUUCCUCUUGAACUCCUGAACAAAGUGGUUCACCAUCCGGUUGUCAAAGUCCUCACCACCAAGGUGAGUGUCGCCAGCAGUCGCCUUCACCUCGAAGAUGCCCUCUUCAAUGGUGAGAAGAGAGACAUCAAAGGUGCCACCACCAAGGUCAAAGAUAAGAACAUUCUUCUCGCCAGAGCUGCCAGCCUUCUUGUCAAGACCGUAGGCAAUGGCAGCAGCGGUGGGUUCAUUGAUGAUUCGCAUGACAUUGAGGCCAGAAAUGACGCCAGCAUCUUUGGUGGCCUGACGCUGGGAGUCGUUGAAGUAGGCAGGGACUGUGACAACUGCGUUCUUAAUAGUAGAACCAAGGUAGGCUUCAGCAAUCUCCUUCAUCUUCAUGAGGACCAUGGAUGAAAUCUCCUCUGCAGAGAACUGCUUCUCCUCGCACUUGUACUGUACCACAAUCAUGGGCUUGUCACCAGGGCCUGGGAUGACCUUGAAGGGCCAUAGCUUCAUAUCAUUCUGGACAGAGGGGUCGCUGAAACGUCUGCCAAUCAAUCUCUUCGCAUCUGUGCACGACCAUAACCACAAACAGAACAAAGAUCGUCAGGGGUAAACGGGAAAAAAAAGCAAGAUGCAAAGUGUUCCAAAAAGAUAAAAUAAACACAAGUCAUGACAAGUAGCUCUGUCCUCAAUAAAUCCUAAGAAUUUCCAGUAGAAUUUAAAGUGAGGAUAAUAAUAGUUCAUAGAAUGAUUCAGAAAGGCUUUCAUAAUCACAAUCUUAUCAGUGAAUACAAUUUUGAACUUAAAAUCAAGAAGACUAAACUUGAUCCAGAUCAAGUCAAUUCGGCUUAGAAUUCAAGCCUUUUACACUUCUCCGAUUUACAACUAUAUAAAUUGCUUAAAUUGUAAAAUAAAUGCCUUCCCUAAUUCGUUAAUAAAGCCAGCAUAUCUAAAGAUAUAUACACAGUUGGUAGCUUUGAAUAUUUAUAAAGAUAUAUACAUUAACUAUGUACAUUAUAAAUCUAGCUCCACAUGCAUAGCUUAAGUUGUGCAAUAAAUAUCUUCCAUAAUAUUUUUAUAAAUCCCGUAUUUCCAAAGAAAACACAAAUUUUUGACACAGUUGAUAGUUUCUUAUAUUUAUAAACAUAUAUACAUUAAAUAUGUUACAGAUCUCCAAGAUAUAGAUGGAAAACAGGUUCCUGAUGCAAAGCACGUCAAUUAGAAAAAAUAAACAAGUUUCAAAAUUUGUAAAAAAGUAUUCGUAACAGCUUUUACAUAACCCUAAGAAUAACACGGAUCAUGUUGCAACUUUUCGUUGGAUCUUUCCGAACAAAACUAAACAUACACAUAAUUUGCUCCGAUCCCUAUAACAAAAUCUAGAAAAAAAAUGCAGAAUUUUCCAUUCAUGAGAAAAAUUAUAUCGAAUAUCUACAAGCUGGCAGGUUUUAAAUAACUCGGAGCAUAAAAGCUAAAAAUAGAAUAAAUCAAAAAUUAACUUCCCAAACCAACCCACAAAUCAAUCAAGUGACCAAAAAUUUGAUCUUUUUUUGGGGAAAAAAAAAAUCCUCCACAAUGACCAGCAAAAAUACGACAAAUUCAGAAAGCAUAUCAAAGACGCGUGAACAAUUUCAUCAAGAUCUCAAACUUAUAGAAUUUCCAUGAAUUCUAUCGCAACGUAGCACUACAAAUGCUAGUAACUACGUAAAAAGCAUAGCCUAGCAAACAGAGUAGGCGAUCUGAACUUACCGAAGACGGUGUUGGUGGGGUUCAUAGCGACCUGGUUCUUGGCGGCAUCACCGAUAAGCCUCUCGGUGUCAGUGAACGCGACGUAGGACGGGGUGGUGCGGUUCCCUUGGUCAUUGGCGAUGAUCUCCACCCUAUCGUGCUGCCACACGCCGACGCACGAAUAGGUCGUUCCGAGAUCGAUCCCGAUCGCCGGACCUUCGGCUUUCGCCAUGGCUUCUCUCGCAGAUCUAAUCGAAGAGAAGAAUUAUACAAAGAGAACGGAAAAAAUAGAGAUCAAAAGAGAGAAUGUAAGUGCGAGGAGGCGAGGCGUAGAAAGGGCGCGCUUUUAUCGGAUGGGCUCCGAUUCCAGAAGGUUCGAGCGGGGGAAGCCUGGCCAUUGGAUUGGUGGGAGAUGGACGGCGUGUAAAGGGGUUGGUCGUUCUCGGAGAAUUCGUGCACCCUCUGGAGAAUUCGAGAAGCGUCUUUGCUUCAGGUUUUUCCGAUCGAGUGGGGAAGCCGGCGCGCCUGCUCCUCCACUCCGCUUCUGCCACCUUACGACAUCCGAAAGGAUGAUGGAAUCCUGUCGGUACCUGGCCCCACUCAGUUGGACCGGACCGGCCGGGAGGAUAAAUAUGAAUCCUCUCUCUCUCUCUCUCUCUNNNNNNNNNNNNNNNNNNNNNNNNNNNNNNNNNNNNNNNNNNNNNNNNNNNNNNNNNNNNNNNNNNNNNNNNNNNNNNNNNNNNNNNNNNNNNNNNNNNNNNNNNNNNNNNNNNNNNNNNNNNNNNNNNNNNNNNNNNNNNNNNNNNNNNNNNNNNNNNNNNNNNNNNNNNNNNNNNNNNNNNNNNNNNNNNNNNNNNNNNNNNNNNNNNNNNNNNNNNNNNNNNNNNNNNNNNNNNNNNNNNNNNNNNNNNNNNNNNNNNNNNNNNNNNNNNNNNNNNNNNNNNNNNNNNNNNNNNNNNNNNNNNNNNNNNNNNNNNNNNNNNNNNNNNNNNNNNNNNNNNNNNNNNNNNNNNNNNNNNNNNNNNNNNNNNNAUAUUAAUUAUGUAUAUAUAUAUAUAUAUUAUGUAUAUAUAUAUUAUAUAUAUAUUUAUAUAUAUAUAUAUAUAUGUAUACAUAUAUAUAUAUAUAUAUAUAUAUAUACAUACAUAUACAUACGUAUAUAUUUAUUUGCGUACGUGGCCCAGCCGAACAUAUUUACACUCCGGUUCUACUGUCCCACCGCCCCGCCCCGCCCCGCCCCGCCCGUUUGGCGAGCAGUGGUUCCGCUCCUUCUUUUGAACCAGGUGUUUGAUGAAUUCUCGCACUACGCGCGCCGCGCCAAAUAAACGACGAGCUGGCUAGGUGGUGCAAGAAGAUCCCAGCGCUCCGACCCAAGCCCGCCACCCGUUCUCCUCUUAUUCUCUCCCUCCAAAAUCUCUCCACGCUCUCAUGCCCGCCCGCAGAAGCCACCCCGAAUGGGUUCCGCCUUCUCUCCGACCACCCGAACCCCGAGGUCUCCCUCUUCCUACAAAAAGGCUUCGCAGAGAUCUCCAACCUUCUCACUGGAAGAACAAUCCACUGCCUUUCUAUUCGGCGCUCCAUUCACCUCAGCCUAUUCCACUACAACACCCUCAUCAACUUGUACUUCAGAUUCGGCCGAUUGGAAACCGCGCUCAAAGUGUUCGAUCACAUGCCUCAAAGAAACGAUGCCUCUUGGAAUACAGCAAUUUCUGGCUGUGUUCGAGUGGGUUCCUUUGCUAAAGCUGUUGAAUUGUUCCGAGAGAUGAGGGAAGACGGCAUCGAGCCCAACAAGUUUGUGCUCGCAAGCCUCCUGACGGCCUGUAACCGGUGGGCAGAGAUGGUUGGAAAAGGUAUCGAAAUCCAUGCUUUUGUUUUGAAAAUUGGGAUGAUGAGUAAUGUAUAUGUUGGAACUGCACUGCUGCAUUUGUAUGGCAGUUAUGGAUUCUUGUCUGAUGCUCAGAGACUCUUUCAGGAGAUGCCCGAGCGGAAUGUUGUCUCCUGGACUGCCUUAAUGGUGAGCUUUUCCACAAAUGGGUAUCCACAGGAGGCCGUCAAGGCUUAUAGGUGGAUGAGGCGGGAAGGAGUGGUUUGCAAUCAAAACUCCUUUACGACAGCAAUUAGUUCUUGUUGGUUGCUCAAGGAUGAGAAGUUGAGCCUUCAAGUUAUUGCCCAUGUCGUGGUUGCUGGAUUUGACACUGAUGUUUCGGUGGCAAACUCUCUGAUAACAUUGUUUGGGAAUCUGGGGAGAUUAGAGGAAGCUGAACGCAUCUUUAACCAGAUGGAACAAAAGGACCCGAUAUCUUGGAAUUCGAUGAUAUCAAUAUAUUCACGAGAGGGAAUGCACAAGGAGUCUUUGCAGUUGUUUUCAGACAUGCGUCAUGGUAAUAUCAAGCCAGAUACCACCACUUUCUCCAGUUUAAUAACAGCAUGUAGCUGUUUGGAUCAUCUGAAGUGGGGAAAGGGACUUCAUGCCCUAAGUGUUAAAAAUGGUCUUGAUUUAUUUGUUUCUGUGGCCAAUGCCCUUGUUAAUAUGUACUCCACGACAGGGAAGUACAAAGAGGCAGAGUUGUUGUUUCGUGACAUGCCCAAAAGAGAUAUGAUUUCAUGGAACUCUAUGAUCUCUUCCUACAUCCAGAGCGGGCAAUGCACAGAUGCCUUGAAGCUUUUAGCUCAACUGAUUCGAACAGAGAAAGAAACAAAUCAUGUGACAUUUGCUAAUGCACUCUCCGCAUGUUCUAGUCCUGAGGCUCUAUUUGACGGCAAGACUGUUCAUGCCCUCACAAUUCAUAUUGGUCUCCAAGAGAACUUGUUGGUGGGUAAUGCUUUAAUCACCAUGUAUGGGAAAUGCAAUGCUAUGAGAGAAGCUGAGUUGGUGUUUCAAACAAUGCCUGAUCGUGAUGUUGUUACGUUCAACGCACUCAUAGGGGGACAUGCAGAGAAUGAAGUGCAAAGGGAGGCAGUGCUAGUAUUUAAUUGGAUGAGAGAAUCUGGAAUAACGGCAAAUUACAUCACCAUGGUGAACGUCCUUGGGGAUUGCUCCACUCCAAAUGACCUGCUGAAGUAUGGAAAGCCGCUUCAUGCACAUAUAGUAUCCACUGGAUUUGAAUCAGAUGAGUAUGUAAAGAAUUCUCUGAUCACAAUGUAUGCCAAGUGUGGUGAUUUGGAUUCCAGUGCAUUUAUCUUUGAUGGCUUGGCCAACAAAACUGCAGUUUCAUGGAAUGCUAUGAUUGCUUCAAAAGCACACCAUGGUCAUGGAGAGCAUGCUUUAAAGCUCUUUAUGGAAAUGCAGCAUGCUGGAAUUUCUUUAGAUCAGUUCAGUCUCACCGGUGGCCUUGCAGCUAGCACAAAUUUGGCAUCACUUGAGGAAGGACAGCAACUUCACGGUCUGAUUACUAAACUUGGAUUUGAUUUGGACAUUCAUGUGGUAAAUGCUGCAAUGGAUAUGUAUGGAAAAUGUGGAAAGAUGGAUGAUAUGUUGAAAUUACUCCCUGAGCCUGCUGAACGAUCCCAGCAAUCAUGGAAUAUUUUAAUAUCAGGGCAUGCAAGACAUGGUUGCUUUGAUCAGGCUGAAGAUACCUUUGAACAGAUGCUUUCAGUAGGACGGAAACCUGAUCAUGUUACCUUUGUUUCUCUUCUCUCUGCUUGCAAUCAUGCAGGCCUAGUAGACAAAGGUAUUGGUUACUACAAUGCAAUGACUUCAGAAUUUGGUAUCUCCCCAAGAAUAGAGCACUGUGUCUGUAUGGUUGAUCUACUUGGACGUUCAGGGAGGCUUGUUGAAGCAGAGAGGUUUAUUGAAGACAUGCCUGUGUCACAAAAUGAUCUAAUUUGGCGUAGUUUGCUGUCUUCCAGUAGAACUUACAGAAAUUUGGAUAUUGGUAGGAAAGCUGCCCGACGCCUUCUUGAGUUAGACCCUUUAGAUGACUCAGCUUAUGUUCUUCUAUCGAAUGUUUAUGCUACCAAUGGAAGGUGGGAAGACGUCGACAAAUUGAGAAUGCAUAUGAAGUCAAUCAAUUUGAAAAAGAGACCAGCUUGCAGUUGGAUUAAGGUGAAGAAUGAAGUGAGUUCCUUUGGCAUUGGGGACAGGAGUCACCCGCAGGCGCUGCGGAUCUAUUCAAAGUUGGAAGAGAUUUUGAAAAUGGUUAAACAAGUGGGUUAUGUUGCUGAUACCUCCUUCGCAUUGCAUGACACAGACGAAGAACAGAAAGAGCAUAACCUUUGGAGCCACAGUGAGAAGCUUGCUCUGGCAUUUGGGCUACUGAAUGUGCCAGAAGGAUCUACCAUAAGGGUAUUUAAGAAUCUUCGAGUUUGCGGGGAUUGCCAUAUGGUUUACAAAUUGGUUAGCAAGGCUGUUGAUCGGGAAAUAGUGCUGAGGGAUGCGUACAGGUUCCACCAUUUUAGAGGUGGAGAGUGUUCUUGCUCGGAUUAUUGGUAACGGUAUAUUGAGAAAAAUAAUUGUCAGAAAUCCUCAGUUGUGCAGUCUGUUUUCAACUCUAUUCUUGAAGCGACACUGCUUCUGCUGAGUUAUGUAUUGAUUAUUUGUUUUAAUUUAUUGAUAUGGGAAUAGGUUAAAUUUGAUAUUCUGCAUUUUUCUGAAUCUGCUCUGCGUUCCUGAAGCUUUAUUAUUGUUGAGAAAUUGCCUCAAGGUCUUUCUUAGUCCUUCGUUGUGUAUCACAUGGCUGAACUAGGUUCUCUUACUAGAUCCAAGGCCUUCUAUGAGAAGCCAAGCUCGCAACUGUGAAGUGACACCUUUUGAAUCCAAGUCCCUGGAGUUCGCUAAAUCUAGUGUCUUCCAAACCAAGAAAGCUGAAAGCAGAGGUAACUACCAUAGUUCCCUGCUACUGUGAUUCGAAAUCAAUCUAUUGUUAGUUGUUCUAUGUUGUAAAUAACUUGAGCUGGAUAAGUUUUGCUGAGAACAAUACUGAGAAACAAUUGCAAAAGGAUUUUAUUAUUGACUAUUGCAAUCUCAAAAUACUCAAUUUUGAGCAUUAUUUUCAAACUAGUUGAAGUCGAUUACAUGAAUCCUUUUCUUCCAUUCUACACGAUUUAAGACCAUGCUUUUUGAAGGAUAUUGAGAUAUCAAGUUCUAAAACUACUUCAUCCCGUGAGUUGUUGUAAUUCAAAAAUAAAACAAGAAAAAAGAAUAAGGGGAAAGCUUAUGUGGUGAGCCAUUCGGGUGGUACUCUAUGGAUCCGAGGAAAGAGCUGCCGAGACUCUGUGAUGUUUUAUUUUCAGAUUUUAUUGGUUGUAUCCGUACUCGUGUUGUAUGAUGCAUCCGCUCUAGCCAAAAAAAAGAAAAGAAAAAGAAAAAAAAACCAGUUCAAUGGGAUGUGACAAUCAAAACAUUAAAUUAAAGAGGUUCAGCUUUCUGUAGGUCUAACUUUUAUUGCACUAUGGACAACGAUGACCAAGUUUGGGCAGAUAAAUUAUCAACAUGACUUAUGUGGACUCCAAUCCCUAACUAUGAAAAAUGUCACAUGACAGUAUGACACUAGUAACAUUAACUAAACAUCUAAGAUAAAAUAGAUUUUUUUAAUUCUUUUCCUGGUAUAAAAAACAGAGCUUCGAAACAAGAUCCCUAGAAGACCAUGAAUUUAAAUAGUCCUUGGGAUAAACAGCUUUUCUCAUAAGGGUGAAAAGUAAACGUCGCUCUAUUUCCUUACCUCUGCAUCUUUAUAUUCAGUUUCUUGUUUAUUGUUUGUAUGAGAAUUUUGCCUUCUUAAGAUUUAAGUUUUUUGACAAUACAAUUGACAACUAUUGAAGGAGAUCAUUCUCAUAUGACAAAUUCCAAACAAAUUAAGUCCAAUCACCUGAAGGGUUACACUUCCAUAAAAUACUCUUCAUGCAACAAGAUAAUUACCUUUUUGCAACAAAUUAGAGUUUAUAAAUUUUAAGUAUGUUUCAGAUUACCCAAGCACAAAAGCUCCGUGCUAUAGAGAAAAAAGGGGAAAAAUGUAAAAUGAACCAAAAUAUAAGAAAAUAGACUUGUAUCAUUAAUUUAAAUUUGCUUAGAUUUUGUCAGUUCUAAUCAGAUCAUGUUUGAUUUUAUGUAUUUACAACUGAUCUAAUUAGAGUUCCUAUAGCCCAACUUUGAACUCACACCUAGCAAAACCAAGAUGGGACAGCUGCUUGGUCUCUUCCCGUGGCUUGCAAGUAGGAGAGUUAAUGGAAGGCUCCCAUGUCACUUUGGACCAUGCCUUUAGGGCUGUUAAUGGUCUGGGGUGACUAGUGGUUUGGGCCAAUCUUCCACUCUCGAUGAAUUCUAAUUUGUACUUUUAGGGUUCAGGUUAACCUUGAGCCAAGCCACUUUGGACCAUGUUCGUUGGGACUUGAUCGACCCGGGACAUCAACCACAUGCCGAAUUCAGGCUUCACCCAAUCUGGCCAUUGAGAACCCAAAAACCAUCAACUUCGAUCACCUCCAGCCACAACUGUGGUGCAUAUGUACAGUUCUGCUAAGCAGUGGAUGUAACAAAGAUCUAAGCCCUGUUAACCAUUAUUGAGUCUUUAAGCGAUUUCUUUGAGAAAGCUUAGCAUUGUCGUCCUCAAUUGUUAACCUCCAAAUCUCCAGUUGUGGUGAUUUAAAUGGUUAUCCAUUGCUGGUUUGAUCUAAUUAAAUGGAUCUAUUUAUACUAAACAUUGAAGAGAGUUUUUUGUUUUCAUUUAGUUGACCCUGUGGUUACGUAGCAUCAUGGAGUGAUCUGGCUGGAAUAAGUUUUUGAAAAUAGUCUGGUUGGAAUAGAUUAACAAUUUGCCAUGCUUGUCUGUGGGAAGCAAAACAUGAAGCAAAUAUUGAUGAUCAGUAUUAUGAAAGAUUUCCCAUAAAUGCAAGUUAUAUAGGAGUAAGGAGGCGGAUUAGAUUAUUGUAUUGUUAUAACUCUCACUUACUUUAUAAAUAUACGAUCUCACACCAUAACUCCAACUUUUUGAUGGCAUUAUUGUAACAAUUCAUCCAGAACCUCAUCUAAAAUGACUAAUCGAAAAAUAUUAUUUGGAUUCUUUGGUCCUAUAUAAUAUAAGUAUCUAAUUAUUUACGUCUGCAUAGAUUCUCACAAUUAUUCUACGAAAAAUGAUAUCUGAAUUUAUGUGGCAGGCUUUAUAAUAUUUGUAGCCAAGUCACGAGCCUUACUCGUGGAUUUGUUACAUCACAAAUCUCAAAGCAAAAUCAAGAGCAGAUGCUGCCUUUAGGGUAUUUGGUGAGCAUGGGAUCCAACCUGUCUCGAAAAAUACCAUACGGCUAUUUCUUUCUAUUGUCAUGCAAGAAUUGUUUAUCGCUUCUUAGCUCAUCUUAAAGAUUAGAAAGCCAUCUCAACGUGAUUAGGAUAAAAAAUUAUGGGAGUAAAAGCUUCAAAGAAACUUCAGGAACCCAUGGGCUGAGCCAAGUAGCCAACCAUGUGGAGAUAAAACGAGACCGUUCUUCGUUUCUAAUAUUCAAAAUAAUGGGACGUAAGAAAACCUAACCAUCUUAUCAGUGAUAUCGGCCAUUUCCACCAGCAUCCACGGUCCACGGAUGGAAACCCGUCGCGGCCCGAAACCAUGUCCAAACUCGGCCUCGAAAAAAAAAAAAUAGUAGUACAUUAGAUGCACCAAGAAAAUAAAAAGAAACCUAUCCUGCCUCAAAAUCCCAUCCCCAGUCGCUUCACGCAGCGGCCGCCUCGAGUGCGGCGGCCGCGGCGGCGCUGUCCCUGCCACCCUCGCCCAGAUCACCCUCCACCACGGCGGCCACCGCGACCUCACCUCCUACGGCGUCAGCCUCGUCGACGGCUUCAACGUGGGCAUGACCGUCACGCCGCACGAGGGCAAGGGCCAGUGCCCCGUCGUCGGCCGCCGAAACAAAUACAACAGCCCUCGCACGUGCCGGGCGUCCUCGUACUUGGAAUUCUUCAAGCACGCGUGUCCGGCCACCUUUACGGNNNNNNNNNNNNNNNNNNNNNNNNNNNNNNNNNNNNNNNNNNNNNNNNNNNNNNNNNNNNNNNNNNNNNNNNNNNNNNNNNNNNNNNNNNNNNNNNNNNUCUCUCUCUCUCUCUCUCUCUCUCUCUCUCUCUCUCUCUCUCUCUCUCUCUCUCUCUCCAUGUUGCUAUCUUAUACUCUCAAAGAAGGUGAAGUUGUGGACGGGUUGAUGCAAUGGCCAGUCAGGCCAGCUAUGGUUUUCUCUGGUUUUCCGGCAGCAGGAGGGGAGAUGGCGCUGUGGACCUGUGGGUUGUGGGGCAGGUCUUUGAGAGCCGUGCAGUGCAGCAAUGGUGGACAGGUGCUACGCCGCUUUUAGAGAAGGGAAAGGUUGCGGGGCGUGCCUGAACAAGGGUUUUUUUUCUUCUUUUUUAUUUCUAAAAGAGAAGAUGGGGAAGACAAGGUUAAAAGGAGGGGAUUAGAAAAAGUUACAGAAACUAAAGGAUUUAAACUAGUAAUUAACUAAAGUUUGUUUGAUUUGAUGGAUGUGACGCUGUGUUUGUUUAAAACAAAGAGGGGACAAAAAGCCUAGAUGAUGAUGUUAACCGUUUUUAUUAAACUAAAGUUACCGGAUGGAAACAUAAUUAUGUAUUAGAGUAUCAGACUAGGCCGAGUAUUUUUUAAUUACGCAUUUUUGGAGGAUGGAAAUGAAAAAGAAAAAUUCAUAGGCUUUUUGCUGUAAUUUUGGAGCUUGCCCUAGCCGGCAUGGUGAAAUUUCCAAGCCCAACCAGCAGAGAAUUCUCUUCAAGAUAUAUUGGAUCACUCCGUAAAGCCAGGCCCAUAAAGCCCAUGUGGUGACGAACAGUCAUGGCAUGUUUUCUUAGAAGUUCUUUGGAUAUUUGGCCUUAAGACUUGACAUGUUAGUAUAAUAUCUUAUAUAUUUUUGAGAAAUAUGGCAACUUAUCCUCUCACGCAUGCUUCACUUCAUCUAUUUGUUUAUCCAUUAUCAUACUCCAAGACUGACAAAAAAACACACUUCCAAUUUAUAUGAUGCAAUUCCUUAGUGAUAUCCAGAUUGAAAUAAGCAUGAUGACGAGAAGAGCAUUCACAAUCCAAGCAUAAUGAUGUCAUAUGAUUUCAACGCUUAAUCUCAAGUAUUCUUACUGAAAUCACGCAUCACUGUAAACAAUGCAUCAUUACAUUCACAUGAAUCAUAAUUAAUUGGAUUUGGACUAGGAUGGAUUUAUGCCCCAUUCUAUUGCACACAGAACACAGUUGGAAUACACUACUGUACGACAGCAAACCAAAAGAAACGCAAGCUUUAUAAACUUUAAGCCUUCAACUCCACAACUAACUUGAUCGCACUUUCAGUGGUAGCUGAGAAGAGGUCGGUGGCACAAGCAAUCCACAGAUACUGAAGGAUACAUGAAGUCAAAGUCUAAAUGGAUGUCUUCUAGGCUCAGUGAUCAUGAACUAGAUUCCAUUUCUCGGUUGUGGAUCAGUGCAGCUUGCUGGUUUGAAUUGGAAAAGCAGACGGAUUUUUUUCUACUCAAAAAACCAAGAGUUGGAAAAGCAGAAGGGAGAGGCCUAGUGGCAAAAAACCAUUUGCAAGUUAAUGGCCACCUCAUGCAGUAAAAGAAGACAAAGGCUCCCAGUCUUGCCCUGUCCCACCAUUCUCCAUUCCUUAAGAGGGGUCCAAACAUAAUUGAACCAAACCUAUGGGCAAAAUUCGAAAGAAAACCAAGGGAUAUUUAGGGAUAUCAAAGGUGGAUUAAAGAAGGUUGCCAAGUAUUUUUCUUAAAAGCUAAUCAAUCACAGAUGUAUGUCUGCAAGCAAAAUGAUUUGAUCUUUCUUGGAGCCACCUCAGUGGUUACUGAUAGCUCGAUUCAAGAUCAUGUUUUCUUUGAAAUGCAUCGGUGCUGAAGGUUUGAGUUUUAAUGUUGCAGGUCAGAUCAUAUUUUGUUGAAGAAGGAUAUCCAUUUAGAGUACUAUUGAUUCUUAUAUUCACUAAUGCUAUGAUUAAUGUAUUUGGACCAACAUAUGCCAUGCUAUCUAAUCCACAAAAUAUAGUUUAUUCAUGCUUCUCUUAUUGUGUAUGUUGAGAGUGAUACAACAGCCAUCCAAAAUUUUGGUUCCUCUUUAUACAAAUUUUAUAGUCUUCGAUGAAACCUUUUUAAUUUUGCUUAAUAUAAGCCCAAAACCUUUUAUGCAAAGCUACUUUUUCCUCCAAAACUAGUAUGGAUCUUUGAACUCCUGCUCCCACAAAAUUGUAAAACAUCAAACUAUACUACUCUGGUAUAGUUGAUGCAAGGUACAUACUCUUAGGAUUGCAUUGUAAAGAAGGAAAAUACUCAUGCUUGAGUUUUAUGUGGGGCUAAUUGUAUUUUUCAUAUGCAGAAGCUAAUUUGGCAUUGAUAGAACCUCUAUGAAAGAUGGAAAAAAUGACUUUUGAGCUUAUGGUUAGAAUUUUCUGUUUUGAUUUCUAACUUCUCAAAAAUUAUUCACCCCUAUACCAGUAUCCGUGUCCCCCAUAAAAGCAAAAAAGAAGAUCCCUUUCUUUUUUCCUUGAGCUUCAAAAAUGCAUACAACUUAUCCAUCCCUUUGCUUUCUAUAGCACAAGUCAUGUCAAACACCACUCUAAAUUUAAAGUAAUCAAAGUUGGUCUUGUAUUAUAACAGCCUUUGUUGGUUGAUAGCUUAGCAAUGCCAUUCAACUUAUAAAGGUGCAUGAUGCCUCAAUUUUUUUUUUUGGCAUAAGAAAGGACCUUACUUCCUUUCAUAAUUACUUGCAAUGACUUGCUCCAAACAUUUUGUUUCUUUUCUGCAGUGUAUGAAAAAUGUUUGACAAGGUGAGCUGAUCUGUGCGCUGGGUACAUAUAGAACUUAUGUAAGCUAAUACAUAAAAAAUAUGCAUAUGGUAGCGUUAAUAUCUAGUCAUUUAAAUUUUAUUGAGACUGCUUGUCGAACUUGUUGAAUUAAUAAAGCCAUGCACCAAAGUAUGGACAUUAAAAAAAAUCCAUUGAUCAUUUUCAAGUGAUUAAUCAAAUAACUUAAGAAUUAAUUCGAAUCUAUAGCUUUGAAAUUACUAAGCUAGGCAAUUUUGAAAGCACUUUUGAGAUCUAGAGUACUGAAAAAAUUGUAGAUCGAAAAGGCUGAGACUCUCGUUAACUUUUAGGUAGGGGAUGGAUAAUAGAGCUAAGGAUAGGGCUUUAAUGAACAGACCGACCUCCCCACUCUUUAAUUUCUAAAGAGACCUUAAAAAAAGUGAAAGUGCUUGCGCAUCUUUUCAUUUAGUUAGCCCUCUCCGGCAUCAAAUUAUACUUUUUUUGCUCUAGGUAGGUGGAGUCCAUCUCUUUUUUGAUAGAAAUAGGUAGGAACUUUUAUUUAAACAUGGCAAUCAUUCACAGCUUUGUUAAUGAGUUGAUUUUGUUUAAAUUUCUAGUAUAUGUCAACUACAAGAUUGGGUAUCAGGGAUCGUAUGCAACAAAAAAUAACAAAGCUAUCGAAAAUACUUUGAACAUGGAAACAUAGUUUUUCAAGUUUUUAUAUUGCCACUAGUGUUAAGCUUAAAGUAUAUUGUUGACAUAUUUUCUACUGUUCUUAGGUUUAGGUUACUAGAGAUAUUCAUCAAGACCCACUUGGUUAUCCUUUCAUGUGCAUGGGUCAGACCACAUGUAAGGGAACAUGAUAUUUUUUAGUACAUUACUGUUGUUUUUUGUUAACUUAAAUUAUUAGGUCAAUUGAUUAGUUAAAAAAAUGAUUAGCCACUUUUAGCCAUCUCUCUCUCUCUCUCUCUCUCUCAUGCACACAUAAAUGUCCCCUCCCAGUGCCAAACUAAAACAAAAAUAAUUUUUGACAGCAAAUUGCUUAUAACAUUUUUUAUUAUAUAUCAUUAAUAUUUUUUUGCUGCAUUAUAAUAUAAAUGCUGCUAUUUUCCCAUAAAUAUUUUUUUAUUAGCAGUACUUUGUAGUAAAUACCGCUAUAAAUUCAUAUUUUACAACAUAUAAUUUAAAGGGUUAAAAAUUGGAAUUACUAUUAUGGUUCCUAACUAAUAAGCCAGUAAAUAAGAUCAUAAUUGGUGAGAUUUUAGAAAAUUGCCGCUAAACUUUAAAUUAUUAAUUUUUAUAAAAGUUUGGAUUUGGUCAUACUGAGGCCAUCAAAUUUGUUACGUACAUAUUGUUGUAGUCAUUCACAUGAUUGAAACCCUUUGUAGCGAAAAUGUUUAUAAGAAGUUAGUAUACCUUCUUAGUAUUACUCUAUACAGGUCACUGAUUCAAUCGGACUUGUGUUAAAAUAUUAACAAUCAAAAAUUAUUUAAAAUAAAAAAUAUAAUAUAAAAAUAUUAAAAUAAAAAUAGAUAAAAAAAUCAUGAACUAACUAUUCUUAAAGAGUUUGUAAAAAAAUUAUAUAUGAAUAUAGUCACAUGCAAAAGUUAAUUUUUAAAUAAUUUUAACAAUAAUUUUUUAAAAUAUCUUAAAGAAUAAAAUAAAGUCAGUUCAUUUUUAUUUUUUAAAAAAUAAAAAAUAAUGAUUAAAUUAUACAUCAAAUAAUUAUUUAAUGAUAUGAAUAAAUAUUCAUAAANNNNNNNNNNNNNNNNNNNNNNNNNNNNNNNNNNNNNNNNNNNNNNNNNNNNNNNNNNNNNNNNNNNNNNNNNNNNNNNNNNNNNNNNNNNNNNNNNNNNNNNNNNNNNNNNNNNNNNNNNNNNNNNNNNNNNNNNNNNNNNNNNNNNNNNNNNNNNNNNNNNNNNNNNNNNNNNNNNNNNNNNNNNNNNNNNNNNNNNNNNNNNNNNNNNNNNNNNNNNNNNNNNNNNNNNNNNNNNNNNNNNNNNNNNNNNNNNNNNNNNNNNNNNNNNNNNNNNNNNNNNNNNNNNNNNNNNNNNNNNNNNNNNNNNNNNNNNNNNNNNNNNNNNNNNNNNNNNNNNNNNNNNNNNNNNNNNNNNNNNNNNNNNNNNNNNNNNNNNNNNNNNNNNNNNNNNNNNNNNNUGUAGCAAAUAAUCAAUAUUUUUUUAAAGUUUAUGCAAUGUCAUUAGGUUGUAUGGAUUAAAUGAGCAAAAAUUUUUUUUUAUUUUUUUAUAAUUUUUUUAUUUUUAUUUAUUUAUUUAUUUUUUUAUAUAGCAAUAACUUGAAUGUAAACUAAACACAAUUCUUAUGCGUCAGUCAAUCUCCGAAUGCCCGUUGAAUAAGCUCUGGAGAUUACUCCGUGAGGAGUCCCGAUAGAGGUAUGAUAACCUCGGGGGAUUGCACCUUAUCAAUUACUAGCAAAAAUAAUAUAGAAUUUUUUUUUAAUAUUUUUUUGAUUUAAUUAAAAGAUUUUUUUCUUUUUAAACUUCAAAUUUCGAAUCUCAGAAUUCAAAUUUUGAAUUUAAAAUUUUUUUGAAUUUUUGAAAUUUUUUUUUUAAUUUUAAUUUUUUUUUGAAUUUUAAAUUUCGAAUUUCAAAUUUCAGAAUUUAAUAACUACGAAAUUAUUAAAUAGAAAUUAUCAAAAUAAGAAAAAUUAAUAAAAAUAAAAAUAAAAACUUACUACCGGAGUACGUUCACUCCGGGCAUCCAAAAUUUGAUUUGAUCUUCGUGAUCGUUCUUGCUUCUCGAUUUGCCUCCCCGGUAAUGGCGCCAAAAUUCUGUUCGUCCGAUUCCUGUUUAACUAAAAAUANNNNNNNNNNNNNNNNNNNNAUUAUUAUUUUUUAUUUUUGAAAUAUAUUUUUAUGGUUUUAUAAAAAUGAAGGUUGCUCCUAAUGUUUCCAAAAAUAAGAAAUUUAUGAUUAGAGAUGGCAAUAAGUCGGAUAUGAGUCAGGAUAGGCUAUUACUCGUAUGUGCUCUAUAGCUCUCUGAAAAAGGGCAGGAUGAGGUAAGUAAGUUAGACGGAUAAGAUCAAAUAAAGCUACAAAAGUUACUUUUUUUUAUAUAAAUCAAACAAAUAAAAAAAGAAUGUAUAAAUAAAUCUUGACACUUCAUAAAAUAUUAAACAAAAUAAGAGUUGAAAAUGUACAACAUAACAAAUCACAUUUUCAACAAUAACUAAAAUAUAACAAAUAAAAAUAUCGAUUUUUAGAAGGUUAAAUAUUAUUUCAGCUAAAAAAUGCAAUCAACUAAAAAAAGGAAUGACUAAGCAUCAUGAUAUGCAACCUUUGGCAUAUUCAAUCUCUCGUGCGAGUUAAGCAAUUAGGGCAAAGAUUAGGGAAGAGGAUCUGUGAAAAGUUAUAUAUAUUCAAGUCGAGUUUGAGAUGUGUUUUAUAUUCAGUUCCGCUGCAAGUCGGAUAAAACCCAUCUUAUUAGAGUGAGGUCGAGCCAAAUACCCAAUGGAGUGAAUUAAAUUGCUACUCUUACUUAUGAUUUUUAUCAUCAUUACCAGCAUAGCCUCCACCACCACAACCACCAUCUUAGCUAGCGAUGCCAUCGCUGCUGUCAUCCUUAUCACCAUCAUCAUUACUAUUACUAUCACUAUAUCACCAUCACUAUCAUGAUUAUCCGUAUCUCUAUCACGCUAUUAAUAUCUUAAUUGUAAUCCCUACCCUCACCCUCGUAACUAUAACUAUUAUCAUCAGCACCACCACCACUGCCCUGCCUCCAACAUACUACCACAUCAUCAUUGUCGCCAUGAUACAACCAUGAUACUUGCUGCUAAUAUCAUCUCCAUUACAUUCGCUGCAAUACCAUGGUGCCGAUUACAAUCGAAAUAUUUAUUUUUGAAAAAUCGAGAUAUCUAAAUUACGAAUACCUAAACCAGACGGUCAUGAUCAUCCGACCCGAAGUAACUCCCUGCGCUUGCUGCCGGCAAAACAGCGCAGUCCUCAUCACGCGAGAAGUACCGGCCGCCGGUCAAAAUUCUCGGCAGCAACCGGACGGCGUCUCCCCCACCUUUCACUUAUAACACUACUUCGAGGACACCGACGAGUUUCAUGACUACGUGUCUUCAAUUGAUUCGCACGUCACGACAAUCAUCAUUUUCGCCGGUUCCGUCCUGUGACGUUGCAUGCCAGCUGCGAAGAUAUUUUUGUACAAGAAUUGGGCCCCGUAGAUGUGCUUGUCUGGUGCCGGAGAUCACGAUUGGAUCGCCAACAACGGAAUGUAUAGUAAAAGAAUUAAAAAGAAUUCAUAAGAAUAAUUAAAUUUUUAAUUUUAUUUAAAAUUCUCUUCUCUUUCUCCUCCGUGUUCGUCCCCCCAUCAUUCUUCCGCACUCGGGCCCUCGCCUAUAUAUACCUACUCAUGUCGGUCCUCCUUCUCUCCUUCCCCUCUUUCCUCUUUGGUUCUGAAGACUCCCCUCCACCAUCCCCGCCGCCCACCCCGUCUUUUUCUCUCUUUCACGUCUCGCCCUUCUCCUUGGCUGAAUCUCUAUCUCUAUCUGGUUGCCUCGUUGAUGGCCGUGACGAGCCAAGCGAGCCUGCUCCUCGCGAAGCAGCUGAAAGGUGCGGAUCUGAUCGUUUCUGCAUCGAUUCUGAUCGAGUCUAGGGAUUUUCUUGUUUGUAGGAAUCUUGGAAGGGAUCGAUGGGAUGAAAUUAUUUUCUUUUUGUUGUUGUUGAUGUUGAUGGAUCAGAUCUUACCAAAAAUCCCGUAGACGGAUUCUCGGCCGGCCUGGUCGAUGAUAGCAAUAUUUUCGAGUGGAACGUGACGAUCAUCGGUCCCCCUGAUACACUCUAGUGAGUAGUUGCCUCUCACCUCGCGUAUUCACGGCUUUCUUCUCUUCUUUCUGUUGCUGUUCUCUCUUCUUUUUUGUUAUUGUGAAUUCUCUUGGGGGAAAUGCGAACUUUUGUGUUGUUUUGGCUAGUUGAUGGUUUGGACUGCUUGAAAAUUGGAAUUUUCUGUCAGGCCAGGGGUGGUUUGGGUUGUAAAGUUAGGGUCUUUAUUUGAUUUCAUGGGUAUUUGCAUGCUCCGAGCAUGGAAAGAUUAGAUCUUUGCUGAUGAAACCUUUAUUUGUUGAUUUACUCUAAUAAGAUUUUGGUUCUUCAAUAUCAAAACCAAUCUGUCAGAGAAUUUUCUAUGUCUGAGUUUUGCAGUGUGGUUGAUAAAUUUACAUAUAUACCCAUGAUGUUUGAGAACGUGGCUCUUCAUAGGAACCAAUAGGAAAGCAAGAUCUUUAAGGCUAACCCUAAGCUGAUGAGUUUGGGCUUUUGAUUAUGCCGUAGGCUCUGAGUGGGAACUGUAUGACCAUCUGCUAAAUUUUGUUUGAUCGUUUGUAACUGCACAAAAAUGCUUUGUUGACAAUUGUUGCGGUUAUCUUGAUGGCAGCAUUGGAUAAGAAACGAAUGGUCAAGUGGGAUCAUCAUGCCUGCCUGCCUGUUGACAGAAUAAUGCCUGUGUAUGUCUAUGAUAAUGCUGUUAUAUGUUUGCACUGUGGCCAAUGUAUUGGAACUUGUAAAUUUUCUGAGUUCAAAACUGUUGCAGGGGCUUCUGCUCAUGCAGCUUAUUUCCAUGUUCUUUGAUGACGAUCUGUUAGUGAAUGUAGGAAUUGGGGAAAGAAAUUUACUGUAGAUGUAGGAGAGAAUGUCAAACUGUUACAUAGUGGAUUAAAUAUCAUCAUUUUCAGUGCGUCAAAGUCAUGAGUAGUUUUUAGAUUUUUGUAAAUUCCCUUUUUCUUUUUUUGUGGGGCUAAUCCUUGUUCAAUCUUGCAGCGAUGGUGGCUAUUUUAAUGCAAUUAUGAGCUUUCCUGCCAACUAUCCCAAUAGCCCUCCAACAGUUAGAUUUACAUCAGAGAUGUGGCAUCCAAAUGGUUAGUUUCUAAAGCAUGUUUCCCUAAAUCAUAUCUCAUUUAGCUUACCAUGUGAAACAAUAUAUAAGAAUGCCUUGUUUCUUAUUGCAACUUCAGUUUAUCCUGAUGGACGUGUUUGCAUAUCAAUUCUUCAUCCACCUGGGGAAGACCCAAACGGAUAUGAGCUUGCAAGUGAGCGUUGGACACCGGUGCAUACGGUAUGACUUCACACGUUGUAAUGCUGUAUGCUCCUCCUCUUUAUAUCGAUUUUUUCCUUUUCCAUUUGGUUCUUAUUAAGAAUGAGGAUGAUGCAAAUAGUAUUUUAUAUUUGUGUUCAUUUUUUAUAUUGAACAAAUAUCCAGUUUUACUGUCACAUAAAUUCUAAAUGCUGCUAGUUAUAGUUGAUGUUGAAAAUUUUAUGUGGUCAAAUAAUCUUCCUUGUUUCUUCUUAAGAGCUUAACCAGAAAUCUACUUACUGUUGUUCUUACAAUUUGGAAUGGAUGGGUAGCUCAAAGUCCUUCGUUUCCACCUAAUAUUUUUGUUAUCUUGGAUGCUAGCUUGUAAUUAUAUUCCUAAUGCUUAUAUUAUUUAUCUGUAUUCUUUUAUCUAAACAGAUUAGGGGCCAUUUAUGGCCAUUAUUCUCACACGAUCUGGUCAUUUUCAAUCUCAAAAUAUUUGGAACUAUAAUGUAAGUUGAAUUUAGAGAUAUAAGUAUCACUUCACAAGGAUCAGUAAUUUCAUCUAUACUACCUUUACAAACAUUUUCUCUUUAUUUGAUACAGCAAUGAAGGAUUAUGUUGUAACAUUCAUCUUUUGGAUAAUAAGGUGUCUAUUUAAUGGAUGAUGGGUCAAACCUCUUUUCUGGUCAUUUUAAACACCUUCUGUAAUUUGUUUUUUGGAGUUUUUAUAUCAUCUAGCAUACAUUUUGCCAUAGGAAUCUCAUAGAUUGUUAACUAGCAGAAGAAACUUGAGGCUUGUUCAAACUUAUGAAGGUAACCCAAAGUGAUUUUUCAAAUGUUGAAACAAUGAAAAAUAUUGAAGAAUUAUGGCAUAUUAAAUAAACUUAUUUUAAGGCUCCAUCACAUUUUUUUUUAAAACUCAAAGUUUUCUUAUAUAAGGAACAAGGUUCUUUAAAUUCUUGAUUUCAUUUCUAGUAGUUGUCUUAAUUUAUAUAAGCACAUUUUAACAUACACAAGUCGAUCAAUUUGUGUUGAUCAAUGAUAAGUUAUAUGUGGUUGUUGGUUAAUGUUAUGCAAAUUGGCUGGUGUUAAUGCUUCUAUUUUAUAAUUGUAAUUUUCUUUUAUGUAUUUGACCUGAUUUGAGCCACAAAUAACUAUAUAUAUCAAUAAAGUAAUUCUUGAACCCAAUUCAACUUGACCUGGAGGGAAGUUGAUUCAUCUUGGAUUUAUGUUAUUCAAAUAUGGAUUAGGCUUGGAUUGUGCUGAAAGGACAUCCAACUUGACCUGCUUGCAGCACUAAUUAAGUCACAGAGGCAUUGAACUUCCUUGGAGAAAGUUUUGUGUGACGGACCAUGACUUUAGUAGUUUUUAGGAAAAUAAUCCUAUGAUAAAAUAAGUUGAGGAGUUAUUUUUGAUGUUUGGGUUCAGUAUUCUCUGCAGGAUUGCCAGCUUCAUUUUCUUCAUUUUACUUAUUAUGGUUUGCCUAUACUGCUUCGUUGACUUUAAGGGAUUUACAUUCUGCUAUAUUCGCAUAUGUAUUUUGGAUUUACAUUGUGGAAUAUUUGCAUAACUAUUUAUGAUUGUAAUCAUCUGAAGGUGUAAAUUCUUCAUUUGUAUUCGAAGUUUUCUUUAUAUAUUUUUUAGUUGGAGCAUGUUACUUCCAUCAUAAUUGUGGGAUACAUGAAAUAUACAGGUUGAGAGCAUUGUACUGAGUAUCAUCUCCAUGCUUUCUAGUCCUAAUGAUGAAUCUCCUGCUAAUGUUGAAGCUGCUGUAAGUGAAAAAUUUGUCAUUUUUUUAAGACACUGUUUGUUUCACUUUAUUGAUCAUCAUGCAUUUAUCCAUCUACGGAAACCGAUCUGUGGGUUGCAAGCCAAUGACAACUGCAAGAAGCAGUUGUCAUAGAAAAUUGUUGUAUUAAGUUAUAUUGAAUUUUUUUAUCUUUUAUGUAUAUUCUAAAUUUUGUGAUCCAUUUAGAUCUCAUCUAUUUACAUAUGGUGUCUAAUAUGUUGUAUAGUUUGUCUUCUUGGAUAUACUCUGAAGUUGCUUUAAUAAGAAAAUUUGAACAAAUAUCAUUGUAACAUGUGAAAUAACAAUAACAUCGAUUGGUUUACUUAUUCAUAUGAAAUCGUCCAACAUAUUUUAUCAUUUGAAUUGGAAUUAUGAAUAUACUAGCUAAUUAAAUAUGAAGAUCCAAAAGCCAAAAGUCUAGUGCAUAAAAAUUUGUCACUAAAUAUUAUUCUUAAGUGUGGACAUUUGUAGAAAUUUGUGACUUGAAGUUCUUAACCAUGGACGGAGAAGCAACACUCUGUAUUUAUAAGUUGCAUCUCUGUUUAUGUCAGUGGCAAUGGAAUUGCAGAAGUUGUGUGAACCAUUUUUUUUUAGAUCUGACUACAUUGGUCUUGCCUAAGCUUGACCAAUGGUCAAUAAUUCAUUCACACAUCGAUUAUCAAUGACGAUGGUUUUAUUCUUGGAGGUUUGUUUGUCCUGAAAUGUGAAGACGUUGACUAAUAACUCCCUCGUCUUGUGGUUUUGUUCUAAUGUUGCAAGGAAGUUGGCACCAAAACUCAGCAGUUUGGUUGUAAUUCAAGAUGACAAUGCAUAUAGGACUGUUAUUUUCCUUCGUUUCUCCCCCUCUAUAUUUGGUUGUUUGGCUACAUGUCUGAAGACUGAAAUGUAUACGUUGGUCAUUUGCUUGGUGCUGCUGCUAUUCUAGAUUGGUGUUAGGGAGAAGAGGGGAGGGUGUGCUCGGGUUGUCCUUCUACUACUGUGCGUCAUGAUGCUUAUGAUACUACGAAUCACUAUUUAGAUAAUAAUACAUGAAGGUUGGUGAUGCAUCGUGGUAAGGACCUAAUGUAAAAACUGCGGAAUGCAUGUGUAUUAGAGCCGAUGAUUUAAAUACCAUCAGUUAGGUAUGGUAUCAGCGUGCUGUACUACUUCGACAAAAAAGGGUACUGGUAUGGGUGUGAGCCACUCUCUUAACUGGUCCAUACCGAUUGUGUACUGUUAGUACCAACCAUACUGAUUGUUUUUCAUUAUUGUUGAUACUGAAUGCGUUGGUUUAUCCCAAAUGUACUAGUACUGUAUUGUUUUGGGAAAAAAAAUAUUAAAGAGCUCGGUACCAGCAUCCAACCUCUUGAUUAGAGCACGUGUUAUGUGAUAAAAUGUACAGGAAAAGGGAACGAACAUAAAUUUGGACCAGGAGGUAAGAAAAACAUAUGAUGUUGAUGCAUCAGAGCAAGCUUUAUAAGGAGGGCAAAAUUUAUCAGCAUUUCCAUGCAUGUAGAAGCAUGUGAUAUUUGGUUGUUUGUGUGCAAUUUCAUGUUCGAGUACUCACAUGAGAUGAGUCCAGUAAGUUAAUAUCUUGCAGAUACAUUCUUAGUAAAAUUUUUAUACUGAAAGCGCCAUUAUUGUUUCAUGGAAAGUUCACUCAAAUAAAUAUUCUGAGAGUAUGUUAGUAUGGAUUUUUAAAAAUGUGUACAAAGCUCUUUGUUCACCUCUCCCAUACUUUCUCUAAUCUGUUUCUUUCCGAACUCUAUAGAUCGGUUUCACCCAGAUGGUCAACAAAUCUCAAAAUUUUGUUUCUAAAUGUGUAUUUGCACUUUCCCAUAUACUAGUGAUCUAUGAUAAAAGGAGUAUUAGUUUGAAUUUCAAAUCAACCAUAAAGGAUAAAAAAUAAUACAUUUUAAAGGCUGAAAAACAGAAACCUUAUUGACAAGUGACCCUUAAUCAUUGGGUUGCACAUUCAUUAGAAAUUCUGGAAAUUAUAAAGUGAGUUCUUUGUGCUGGUUAAUGGAACUACUAAGACUACUCUUGGGGGAAGCUUUUUUCUCUCUCUUUUUUUGUGCAGGGUUUUGUUGGGGGGGGGGGUGGUCAGUUGGACACAAAGAUCGCCUUUGGUAACGGAAUUGCAGUUAUAACAAAACUAGAAAUUAACUAUUAAAGUAUGCUGAAAAUCAAACUUGUGAUAAAAAUAAAAUAAUGGAUUUGCUCCUAAUAAGGAAGAUCAAAAGUUUAAUGCUAUAUACAAAUCGAUCUUGACCAAAUUUUGACUGAACAAUACAUUUUACUUAGGGAUGGAAGUGGGCAUCAGCCAAGAAGCUGAUUGAAUUUGGUUUUGGGUCAGAUUUGUAUCUGUUUGGUUGGGCAUAAAAUCUAAAGACCUUAACGGGAUAGGGUUUGGGCAGCCUUUAGCUUGGCUUGAAGCUUGAAUAAAUUAAAUAAUAUUGUAUUAUUAUUAUAUGUUAGUCAGUUUUCAAUUUUUGAUUCAUCACUAGGAUUAGUUUGUCAUUGCUAGAAGCAAAACUCUAGAACUAUCUAUUCCUUUUCCUACUUUCUUGGUCAUUCUCCAUUCAAUUGCUCCUCCUUUCUUCUUUACUUUGGCAUGGUGGUGUGAGGCCUUUGGUUCCUCUUUAAGUUUCAAAGUUGGCGCAGCGACUUCAUCCCUUUUAAUCUCCCCUUCAUGGCUGCCAGUCUUCUCCUCUUACGUCCAAUGCAGCAUUGAGGCUUCCAUUCCUCUCCUCGAGUCUCAAAGUUGGUGCUAGUGAGCUCCUACCUUGUGAUAACCCUGCAAUGGUGGCUGCUGCUCCAUUUGUCUCACUUUUGACUUUCGUUGCCUGAGGCUUUCCCUCUUCCUAUUUCUUAUUGUUGUCCUCAUUCUUCCAUCCAAAGUGUUUAAACCUUUCUCCAACUAGAAGUAAAAAAGUAUGGAGGACAAUUUAGCCUCCCAAUUCUAACAUCGGGUGAUAGGAAGAGAUGGCACCCUUCACCCUUUAUUUUUCUUACUCUAGGGCUUGCAGUAUUUCUUAUUUUGCUCAUAGAAUAAACUUAGGUGAAGACUGAUAGUUUAACACUGCUUGGUAACUGGUGAGACAUAGGAGGGUGGAUCCUGUGACAUUAUUUCUACCCAGAGCCCGAGGGAAAGCGGCCAUCAGGCUUUGUGAAGGGUGGACCAGAUAUAUGCAUAUUCUUGUUAGAUGCAAAUAUUCAUACAGAUUCAUAUGUAUCUUGAAAUUCUUGUUCAUACUUGGUGUUUGCGAAUUCGAUCAAUAACCACAACCAGUAGCUGCUUGGUUCUUAGAAUUGUAAAAGUAUAACCAUAUACAUAUAUGACUCUGGUAUAUAUUCAGUUGAAAUAUAAUACAAGCAUCGUACCUGUUCAAAUAAACCCUAUCUGAAUCAUUUGUCAUUGAGAUCCUCUUAUGGACUUGCCUUUGUUCUCCAACUGGAUUACAACUAGUUCCUGUGACAAUGGACCCGAGUCCUAACUGGUUGUGAUUAAAAGUGAUUUGAGAUGUCUAGAAGAUUUUUGAGCCACAAACUUGACCACUUCAAAUACAAAAUUGGAAUUAUUCUAUGCUCUAAUUUAAAUGUGUAACCAUUUCAGGAUUAGGUGGGGUUCUCCACUUUAUGCAAGUUGGGUUUAGUCUUUUCCCAGGUCCAAUUGUAGAUUCUAUGCAAAUUGAGAUCAGACUUGUCCAAAUUGUACCUCAAUAGUCCUUUCUCUUGAUUUUUCUCUUCUUGCUAACCAAAGUUUGCUUUUUGUAACAUGUGUUCAGCAAACACUAAAGCCGUGCCCUUCUCCCCCCCAAUGGAAGUGCUAACACAGUCCAAGAGAGACUAUUGAUUGCCUAUGUUGCUUGAAAGUUGAUUCUGAGUUGGUCGGAUGUGUUAUCUUAGGUAUCUGGUGGAUCCUGGGUUGCGAGCUGCACAAACUAUGCUCUGUGGUCAAGGAAUUUGGUUCAUGAGAGGGGAUCUAAUUGUGAAUUCUAUUUAUUUCAUAUUGCUGCAGCAGUUAUGAUGCCAGUAAGACAUGAUAUUUGAAUUGUUUGACCACUGCUGGCAUUCGCUGCUGCUACCAAAGACUGGGUUGUAAAAGUGACCCCAGCCAGCUGAUGUCCAAAAUGCUCUAUACACACUUUGCAGUCCAUGAAGCCCAUGGACAUUUUCAGAAUUUUUGAAGCUUUGAGAUAAUGUCUUAGCUAAGAAGUAACUGAAUUAAACUAUUCUAGUUUAUGUGCAAGGUGUUGCUUGUUCUGCAAAAGUUUUAAUUAGUCAAUAGUUCAAGUAAUAUCCAGAUUUUUAUUUGCUUAUAUGCAGUUUUGCCUAAUACAUGGUCCACUUAUCUGGCGGAAGGACAUGAGCACGCGGGCCCAUGAGCUUUUACCUAACUGGUUCCCUCUCUUAUCGCCCAAGCAACAUGUACAGGGCUGACAGGCCCUGGAACCUGACUCUAGUCCAUUUGCCCAUAAACUGAUUUCAAAUUAUAUAUAAAAUUGAUCCGCUUUUGGGGGAAUAUGAGUCAAAGAAAUAACAAGAAUAUUUCUAGUAGAACAUCUUUCACAAUUCUUGGAGUGAUGAUGGUUCUCCAAUAGACUGAGGGAUAAGUAAUUCGACUCAUUAUGUGCCACCAAAUUAUAAUUGCUAGGUUUUCUUAGUUUCUGUUUACAUGGAAAAGAAUAUUAAUUAUUAAACUGUUCUCUUUGUUUUUUAAUGAAGUUUUUAGUUAAAUUUUAUUGAUUGUUGGUGAGAAUAUGAUGCUCCAUGAUCUAUUAAUACUGGCAACAAAAAAAAAGGCCAAAUUACUUGUUAUUUUAUAACUUAAAUGCUAAAUGAUACUCUUAGAUUUUUCGUCAUAUUGUGGUGUAGGACACUAUAUUACCUUCCUCCUAAAAUUAAUUCUAGAAUGAUGCUGCUGUGUUGCCCUACUAAAAUUUUGGUCGGUGUUUCCCAUUACUCAAAUAUCCGUUUCUGUACAAGUGAACUACAUAGAGUACGUAGAAUAUCUAGCCUGCAGAUUUUCUUGUUCUGCAUGCACAAUAUAGCAUUGAUCUAUGACAGGUAUGCUUAUAAACAUGAUGAGGUUGAAGUGGAAUGACUAAAUCAUAGGUGAACUGAUUGUGAAAUUUUAACACCUUUGGGUUUUGCAUAUACGCUUUGAGCAAAGUGUGUAAAAAUAUUGUUCUGUAUGCCAAGGGUUUUUCCUUCUGAAAAUCUGGCAACAGUUAAGAGUAUGGAUAUUCCCCCACCACUACAGCAUUGAUUAAAUUUAAGUUACAUGAUAACUUCAAGUUUCGUGGUCAGGUAAGUCUUAGCAUAUGGUUUUAGUAUUGAAAUUUGAUUUGUUGAUGCUUGUUUGGAGGGCUGUCGUUAAGAUGCCAUGCUCCAGUAUGUUUUGAGCUCUCGAUUUGCUUGUCUUCCUUUCUUAUAUCAGUGUCAUAUUUUUCAUUAAGACUGGUCCAAUCUGGGGUAGCCUCUGAAUUUUGUCAGAGAAACUUGAUCUGAUGCAAAUUUACUUAAAUUGCGAUGCAGAAGGAAUGGAGGGAGAUGAGGGAUGCAUUUAAGAAGAAAGUCAGCCGCAUUGUCAGAAGAUCCCAAGAAAUGUUGUAAGAGCUCGAAAGAGUGGCACCUUGUAGGAGAUAAAAAGUGACUGCCUAGAUUCAUACCUGUCUUGGUGCAACUCUUAUGGUAUGGAAGAGAUCAAGGGUCUGCUGCAUAUCCAGUUGUAGUCUCUUACAGCCCUUUUAGAUUUUUUCCAUCGUCUUCCACUGGUGGUCUCGUUUUUGUCUAGCAAGAAACUGGGAUUGAACGUUACAUGGAUGUUUGCGUAUUUAUCGUGGGUUUGGUGAGUUUCGAGUAUCUUGGACUGUUUUCAUUAUUCUACGGGACACAUCUCACUAGUCUAACCCUUUUCUUUCUGUAAAUUACGAACCUUGCAGUUUAGCGAAGUUGAGCCGCGUUUAUGUUUUAUUAGUUUCUCCGUGGCAUUUGACUGCAUAUACCGAUUGCAAUUCUUUCUCUAAACAUGUCUUCAUGUGUCGUUGUGUAGGGGUUUGAACUGUUUAACUUCUAUAUUUAUAACAUAGAAGAUGCUUUCACGUAUUGUGGUUAUGGUUAAUUGUUUGCUGCAAUACCAUGCUUGUGAUAUAAAAAGCAUUCGGAUUAUUUAGCAUCAUCUUGCUCUUUUAAGGGUUGUCAGGUUAUCCAGUUUUACUUAAAGGUGUUCUCAUUAAGUUUCAAAACGAGUGAGUUUUACGAAACUAUCUGUCGGCUUUUCAUAAAAUCUGUUCUCGAAAUUCUGACAUCAUAAAAUCUGAAUAUAGAGUUCUAGGAUAAACAAACGAAUGAUUUCUCGUGGCCUCUAAAGACUCUCCCAUCCGCCUCUGAGCUCCGCCGUGGGGACACAUCGGUGAAUGAGAAAACCAGCUCCCGCUGGUUUAUCGUUGCACCCACGUUCAAUACCAUGAGAUGCUACGGGGGAAAAGCUUCAUUGCACUUUUCGCUACAAGGAGCACCUCCUGUAUGGUAAUCGGUGGUUGGUUGUACAGUCUACGGGGUUUUCACCCACCCACAAUUNNNNNNNNNNNNNNNNNNNNNNNNNNNNNNNNNNNNNNNNNNNNNNNNNNNNNNNNNNNNNNNNNNNNNNNNNNNNNNNNNNNNNNNNNNNNNNNNNNNNNNNNNNNNNNNNNNNNNNNNNNNNNNNNNNNNNNNNNNNNNNNNNNNNNNNNNNNNNNNNNNNNNNNNNNNNNNNNNNNNNNNNNNNNNNNNNNNNNNNNNNNNNNNNNNNNNNNNNNNNNNNNNNNNNNNNNNNNNNNNNNNNNNNNNNNNNNNNNNNNNNNNNNNNNNNNNNNNNNNNNNNNGUCCAUCCUCUUUGACACUAUCGUCGAAGUGCACCUUGAGAAAACUAGAGGAUGGGGGCUCGCAGGAUGUGAGCAAAAGCCUAGACGCUAUCAGAGCGUAGCGAGAGCUCCAGAUUUUUCUAGCCAACUCAAGAGACGACGACGCAGUAGUAUCAAGAAUCUUCGCUGCAUGAAGUAGAGCCUUAUCUGCCACCACUCUCGGAAGAGCACCUCUGUCCUCAAAUAUGUUAGCAAUCCUAUCUAGCCAACAAUGAUAGGCUAAAUAGGUUGCCUGAAUCCUCUGCUCCAUGAGUCCAGGUCUUUGAGAGAACUCUGCCAAGAAGACCAAGAAAUCCUCCGUCGAUGACCAUCCUCGAUGCAGGCCAAUGAAAGCCGACAUGCACUCCUAGAUCCGAAUAGUCUUCUGGUAGCCGAACAAAGUAUGGUAGAUAGACUCCUCCGCUACCUGAUAGGCUCAGCAUCCCAUAGGGAUGUUCACCCCCCACCGGGCUAACACUCUCCUGGUGGGCAGACACCCCCGGGCAAGCUUCCAGACGAAUAGAGCCACUCGAGGGUGGAUGUGUAGCCUCCAAAUUCAUCUCCCCUCAAUCUGUCGUGCUGCAGUCCUUUUGACCAGCCCGAGAAGAUCCUGAGUCCGCACCUCUGAACUUCCAGUACCGCCACUACUAACAUUGUGAGGUUAAGCAGCCACAGGAGUCUCAUAAGUUUGAUUAUAUGCAGCAAUUUAGUACUUUACUCAAAAAGGCUAGCCGAAAGAUAUUGUUGGAUUUUUCAGCUCUAUCUAAUGUAUAGAACGUCAAACUAAACACGUGUUGGUACAGGUUUUCUCAUACUUCCUCUCAUUUAAGCAAUGACAUCCUCAUCGAAUUAAACGUCUAGAUCCAUUCAAAUCCAAUGGCAUCCUUGUCGGAUUAAAGAUUUAAAUCCAUUCAGAUCCAAUUACAAGUACGACAAAUCCAAUCAUAAAUACCAUGAUCAGUUCGUAGUUAACUAAAUGGGCCUGCACCGUAUUAUCUCCUAGUUUAUACGGGCUACGAGCCAAGUUUGUUUUGAUACUAUUUGUCAAAAUUAGCCGGAAGAUGUUAUUGGAUUUCUUGACUUUGUAUGAGUAUCCAAGAUAUGCUUAGUUCUUAGUGUGGGUUCUUGCACCAUGGAUCCAGAGUUUAGAUAAAUCAAGACUUCUACGCUCAUACAAAGUAAUUCGGGGCUCUUGACUGGUUAUCAUACCGAAUUUGUUUCUAACGGAAGGACCCUAUUCAGUAUUUCCUCCCACGUCUUCUGCAGAUAGAAACCUACCUUAAGGGUAAUAAGAGCAUCAAUUUGUCCCAGAUGUCCUCAGUAUGGCCUCCAGUCCCACUGGGCACACUUGAAACUUCAGACUAGCGGCAGCUCCUUCAACCUCAUAGACAACUCUGGUUACCGAUGCCAAUCCUCAUUCUGGGCCCCUGACCUGAAAGGAGUGCCAAAGAAUGGACCUCGUAGAAUUACUCUCAACUGUUAUGAGUAGAUCUACCUACAUGGAAAGUGAGACAGGAGUGUACCCCAAACCUCACUCACGGAGUUCCUGUCCUGGCCUCUACUUGAAUCCAAGAACCAAGGAAUACCAAAAGGAAAGCAAAAGACAGCGCAAGACCAAACCAGACCGGCUGCUGAACCCAGAAAGGGAGAGGUUGCAACUUGCAACUAAUCACCGGUUAUCUUUUCACCUGGUCAGCAGAUAAAUUUCCAAUCUUUCAUUCGACAUCUAAUCAACAAUUCUGUAUCGAAGACUCCAUCGGACUCAAUUGACUCAUAAAAAGUUACCUUAAAUGUCCUUUCAGAGUUAUUGGUAUAUUAACUAAUGAAUAGAAAAAUUAUAAUCCAAUUUCCUAAUGCAUAGAUAUUUUUCUUUUUAUUUUUUUCCCUGCAAAUAAACUCAGAUCCAUAGUUCUAAUCCAAUUUGAUGUGAUGUGAUAUAAUCUAAAUCAAAGCGUCAACCUUCUAGCCAGAGUUUUGAAUCAAAAAUUUCGGCUAAACUCUGACCUGUUUAACGUCCAGCGAGAAGAUUUGCUUCUCACUGCUAAAUUUCUGCGUCGGCUCCGUUUUCACCACCCCUUGCAGAAGAAAAGUAGGCAAGUGGGUCCGACGCUCGCCUCCUGGUUUUCUUUGUCUCCUUCCGCUGCGUUUUUACCCGCCUAAGUUGCCACCUCCAUUUCUUGCUCUCCCUUCCCGCUAACGCAGAAAGAAAAAGGAGCCGUUCCUCUUGCCAUCUGUCAUCUCGUGAUUCCGAGGAUGAUAAAAAAGAAGCCUCGCUUUGUGUCGCCUCGCCUUUCCCCUCUCGCCGUCUCCUUUUCUCUCUCAUGACACUUCUGCUCCCGCGAUGUCAUCCCCUCUCCGCAACGGCGACACCCCCCCUCCCCGCCUCCCCUCUCCCGCCGUCGGCCGCCACCACUUCCACUCCACCGUCUCGGAGAAGAAGAUCCGCCGCCUCAACGCCCUCAUCCUCCUCCUCCGCCUCGCUGCCUUCUGCUUCUCCCUCGCCGCCGCCAUCUUCAUGGCCACCAACUCCUCCCGCUCCCCCGGCUCCCACUCCUGGCUCCACUUUCACCCCUUCAGGUGAUAACAUAUCUCGCCUCCGCCCUUUCCCUUCCUCCAUAUCUACCGUCUCUACCAGCGCUGAGCUCCCGGCCUCCGAGGGGGUCCAAUCUGGAAUUUUGCAGGCUUGUGCUCGCGUCGAACGCCAUCGUGGCGGUCUAUUCCUUCUUCGAAAUGGUGUCUUCCAUCUGGGAGAUUCUGAAGGGUGUCACCCUCUUCCCCGAGCCCCUCCAGCUCUGGUUCGACUUCUCCCACGACCAGGUCGAUCCCUAUCUUCCGGAGACACUCUGGUUGUUUUCUAAUCAUUCUUUUCGAUCGAUUAAGCCCUCAUUCCUCUUAAAGAUUGGAUUUUUAUUUGGUUAAUUAGGUGUUCGCGUACUUGCUGCUGGCAGCGGAGGCGGCGGCGACGGUGGAGGCCCAGGGACUGAAGGGGGCCCACACGUGCUCGCCGGAGAGCGCGUUCUGCGUGCAGGCAUACAUCUCCGUGGCUCUCGGCUUCGCCGGAUUUGCGUUUCUCGCUCUCGCCGCGCUCGGAUCAGGCUUCCGCGUAGCCUGCUACGUAAUCACCGGCUCUCGCUUCCACCUCUAGACCGAAUAGGCCGAGAGAAGUUUCCCUGUUGCUUUUGUUUUUCUACUUUAAUAAAUAAUAAUUUUUGUAGAGUUUUUGUCCGAGUCCUUCCCGUCCAUCGUGCGGUUUGUGAUCGAUCCUUCGUCUGAAAGAUCAAGCGUCCGCGAAUCAUGGAUGCGUUUUCUAAAGUCAUUCGUCGUCAUCAUUCUGAUUCCUUUUAAAAAGAAUUACGGUUUCGCUUCCGCAAGUUUUAGCGAUUCCCACGGAUUCCUCAUGUUUAAAAGUUUUCAAAAUGGUCCUUCAAAUUUUCUAAAAUGGCCCUCCGGUGAUGAAGGCUGCAAUUGAGCAGCCCAGAGAAGGUAGGAAAAGUGAGCUCUCGGGACUAGGACUCAAAGAAAAACGGAGAAAUCUAUUGAAUUUAUUAGGAAUCCAUUAAGAAAAAUAUAAGGAUGGAAGCAAUGUAGGUAAGAAGAAAACAGAGCAUGUGGACUUUGGGGCGCCAUAACAAUCAUGGUAGCUCGAGAGGAUAAGAAAACAAAGCUUGGGGAAGUUAUUACGCAGAAAACAAAGCUAGUUGGGCGGCAGAUUAGGUAUCCUUUGUCGCUAACCAUUUUAAGACCAUUUAUGGAUAGAUAAGAUGGUGUUGUCUAGUGCUUUUCGAAAUAUAUUAUUUUUGAUUUUUUGAUUGUAUCCAUAUACAAGUUUGAUAUGAUACUUUCGUUCUAGUGUGCCNNNNNNNNNNNNNNNNNNNNNNUUCUUUUCAUUUUUCUCCCACUCUUAUUUCUUUAUUGCAAUGCCAGAGGCAUGGUAGUGAAUACAUUCAGAUUCCUGAAAUAUAUGGGGAAUGGUAGUGAACAUUUUGAUUCCUGGAGGAUUUUCAUAUCCAAGAGAAAUGGAGUUGAUACAAACUUAAUUGUUUGGUUCUGUUUUAACUUAGUCCAGGGCUUGGGGUUUCAAUUCCACACACUGCAACUGGCCCAGGGGAUGACAUGAUGGCAUAAGUGUUGUUGGGAUGAAACUAUGAUUUUAAUCCUUCAGAUAUCUGAACUCGCAUUGAUUGCAAUAAACUAAUGCUGAAGGCUCAGAGAAAUCUUUGCAGGUAGAUACAUUGUAAGUGCCUCUACAUGCAUAACCAUGCUUUUAGAAGUUGUUGUGUGGGUUGAGGCUGAGCCUUUUGUACCAAAAAGUCUGGAAUAUCUACGCAUCGAAUAAUCUCUUAGCAAUGACUGUGUCAUCCAUAUUCGGAGAACUAGAACUGUCUUUCGAUGAGUAAUUCCACCUAGAUCAACAGCUAUCUUAAAUAAGAUAAAGCGAAGGAUUCCCUCUAACAAGGUGUGCUAGUGGAACAAGAAUAUUUCAAUUUCUUAAAGGAUGUCAAUACAGAGUCUCUCCAAAUCAAGUAUAGUUAUUCAUCAAAGAAUAUCUGUUCUCAUCCUUGGUUUGAUCAAUGAAGUCGAGAGAGCAUUUAUGCCUUUGAUCAUUCGAAAUAUGGAUAUCGACACAAAAUCCCUUGACAUCCAAAUAUCACCACAUGCCACUGCCACAAACAAAAGGUGCUUUUUGCUAGAGAAAGUAAUGUAAACCAUAAGGUUAUGUGGAACCCAUGAUUGGCUAGAAGAAAGUACUUCUUGGUUCUAGAUUACAAGCAGAACCAUGCACUUAAGAUCCCAUUUAGAUUUAUACAUACAACAUGGUGCCAUCAUAAUCACAUUUUUGACAGGGUGACUACAUUCAAGUAGCCUUAUUCAGAUGACGCGAUCUCUGGUUUGGCAUAGAGACAUUAUUCUCUGCAUAAACAUAUAGUCUAUGGCUUGGCAUCUGCAUCCAUAUCACAUGCUUGGUUUGACAUUGAGGCGGUUUGCUACCUUCUGACCGAGCGAAACAUCACACUGCAACCAUGAAGCAAUAAUAAGCAAUCAAGGCAGGGAAAAUCCAGCAUGCUUGUUUAGAUCUGAUGAUUUUUUUCAGAUUUCAUUCNNN